UGACCGGACCUUUAGUCCCGGCUUAGAUGAAGGCCGUGACUAAAGGGUUCAAGUCAAAGACACGUUUUCCACUAGUGCUGAUAUGGAGCUCCGGCUUGUUAAAAUGUGCAUGCCGAAGUCGCCUCCCGCGCAGACGAUUGCCGCCGCCUUGUCCGCCCAGCACUUGUGCGUGCCCCUCGACGCCCAGUCCAGCGCGUUCUUGAGCGAGCCGGUGACGGAGUAGUUGUACUCUGGCGAGGCGAAGAGGAAGCAGUCGGCAGCGCUGACCCUGUCGCGGAACGCCUCCACGGCCGGCGGGAAGCCGUCGCCGCCGUCUGUCUCCAGGUCCGGGUUGGCCAUGGGCAGGCAGGAGAUGUCGACGUGGUCGAUACGCAGCCCCGGGAUGCACUCCUCGCACAGCUCAUCGGCUACACCAUGCAUACAAGGCACAGUCAGCGCAGUGCAUGCAGAUCAAAUCAGCGUAAAAUGUGUGCGUACCGGCGCGGAUGAGGCCGUGGUGCCACGAGUUGUUGCGGAGGGAGCCGCUGAGAGCGGCCACGCGGAGGGUGGGCUUCGCCGAGACCGCCAUGGCGUCCAUUUUUUUUUUUCUCUUGUUUCGAGCUUGGUUGCUGUGAUAAUGUGAGAGUGAGUGGCUAUGGGUUAACUUGUGUGGAGCUCGAUCGAUCAGGUGAUGCGGUCCAUAGGCGGAGGAGACAUCUUAAAUAAAUAACCAGAAAUCGAUCUCAGACGCUGACGGUCAGAGAGUCCAUUGACCUGAAUCGGGUAGUGGAAAGGAAUGAGAUCGUCAUCGAUGGCAUCACGUUUCCGAAGUUCGUUAUUUAAUUGCCUAAUAUAGUUAGUAACAGUAUUAUUGAGUAGUACUCCUCCGUUCCUAAAUAUAAAUCUUUAAAGAAAUUUCACUAAGGGUCUACAUACAGACCAAAAUAAGUGAAUCCACACUCUAAAACAUGUCUAUAUACAUUCGAAUGUACUCCUUUAAUGAAACCUUUAAAAAAGACUUAUAUUUAGAAACGGGAAGUAAUGCGCAUGCAUGAUGCAUCAUGUGUAAGCACUGCAUCUGCAUGUGAUUAUAUGGGCAACGACAACUGCAGUUUGAUCGAGACAAACAGCAGCCAGCACCAGACCUCGUAGAUGGCGUCACUCGCCUAGACGUUUCUGGAAAAUAUGUCGCGGGUCUCAUAAGGCCGGCCUUGUGCAUUUUGUGUGUGAGAUAGGCCCAUAUAUUCUUCUUUGGACGAGACAAGUCAGCAAAUAGCGCUAGAGCUAUGUCUCGCAUUAAACGAAGCAACUAGCCACUGCGCCACGACUGAGAUUGUUGUUAGAUGGGAGGCGCCAUCUAGUUGAGGUUAAAGACCCGAGUUUUUUGUUUUUGUUUCUUCUUCUAUUUUAAUUUUUUUUCGUUUAUUUUCUACUUUGUUUGGUCUUCUUAUUUCUUCUCCAGUUUUAUUUGAAUUUAUUUAUUUUUGUCGUUAUACUUUGGGUUUUUUUUCUCUUCUUUUUCUUUUGAUUUCUCUUUGUUCCUUUCAAUGGAUUUUCUUGUUUUUCUUUCUUUUCUCACUUUCCUUCUUUGUUCUUGUUUUAUUCACUUAUUUAUUAGGUUUUAUUUUUUUUUUCUUUGUUUCCAUAUCAGUUUUCACUUUUCACCAUUUACCAAAAACAUUCGUAUAUUUUAUUUUUCGGUUUAUUUCUUCUUUCGUUUUUCUUUCGGUUUUCUUUCUUUCUUUUGGUUUUCAAUAUUUAUUUACCAGACCAAGAGAAUUUCAAAAUAUACAUAUAUAAUUUCUAAAUUUUAUUAAAAAAUUAUUAUAUAUUUAAUAUUUUUCUAUACAGUUUAUCAACAUUUUUUAAAUCUUGUUAACAUUGCUUAAUACUAGAUUCACAUUUUUGAAUACAUGGUUAAGAAUUUUACUGUAUAUACUUUAAAUAUUUUUCAAAUGCUUGAAUAACAUUUUACCAAUACAAGAUAACAUUUUGUUACCAAGUUCUCAACACAUUUCUUAUACACAUUUAACCUUUUUCACAUGCUUUAUUAACAUUACUUUCAAAUGCAAUACUAAUUGCAUUUUUUAAUACAUUAUCAAAAAAAAAUCUUUACAUAUUUAACAUUUUUAACACAUGCUCAACAUUAUUUCUAUAUGCAGUUAACAUUGUUCAAAUGCUUAAUCAACAUUUUUCAAAUACUUUUUCAACAUUUUUUCAAAUGCUUGAUUAUCAUUUUUAUAUACAUGAUAACGAAAUUAAACAUUUUUUAAUACGUGAUCAACAUUUUUUAUACACAUUUAACAUUUUUCAAACUCUGUUCAACAUCUUUAAAAUACUUGAUCAAUAUAGGCUUGAUUAACAUAUUUAUAUAAAUGAUAAAUUUGUUUAAUUAUUUUUUUCAUACGUGACAGAUAGGGGGCCCAUGCCACCACAUCGUAUGGAUGCUUGGUGGCCCCGUCUGGUCCAUCUUCAGUCUGUUGGUCAUCUUAUUUUCUUAAAAAAAAUCCUUCAAAAUCCCGCUCAGUUUGGAGCACUUUUGUUUCUACACAAAAAUAACAUCUUGGCGAUUCUACUGAAAAUAGUGUUAGUCUGGUUUAAUUUUAUUCUACUAAUACAAAUUAGAGCCAAAACAAUAACAUAAGUUUUUGAAAAAGUAGAUAUGUUGAGAUGUAGCGCUACUCUACCUAGAUGGAUAGCCACCCUAUGGACCAUCUCCCAACCUGUCGUCGAGAAGGCCAAGGGGAGGGGAGGGGAGCUAUCUAGUUGGAGGUGCACAAAGUGGAAGCUUCUUUCGGGCCAAUCAUUCAAAGGACGAUGUUAAGGGCUUAACCAUUCAUAUACUUAGCCAGUUAGCCUACGGUUGUUCUAAAUAAACAACCUCAUGCCGGAAAGAAAGUAUUAACCUUGAGGAACUUCAUCGCAUUGUGGUCUCCUUGCACAAUGAAGUAACACGAUUAAGGGAUAACACACACCACACACACAUAUACACAUACAUGGAGUAAUAUAUUAUUGUAAUGAUAUCAAAUAUAAUUUUCACCUAUAUGAAUAAAAUAGUGUAUUGCACGAGAUUUAAAAUCAUUUUCCCAACCCAGCCAAGAUCUUGAAUUCCCAACUGGUUUUUUGGUGCAAGAAUUUUUUUUGUUUUACUAAACGGACGAGUUGAAUGAGGCACCAUCUGUUUGCAUAAGAAAUCUCGGUUUUUACAACAGUAAAUGUCUAAAGAAAACUAUUUAAAGCUUGAAUACUAAUUUUUUUAAUUGUGCUUGAAAAUAAACAUGCAAUGGCGAGUUGGUUAAGAAUCAUUUCUUUCUGCCGCAAAAGACCUCUUUGUAGGGGGAUUCGAUUCCACGGUCUCAUUGCUCUCACUCAGCAGGCCUACCACCACAACAUCACAUCAUUUUUUGUAGUCCGACAGUUUUUGGCCUUCGUUUCUAGUUCAAUGUAUAAAUUUAAAUUUAAAUCUAGGUUAUUCUAACAAUGAGAAAAUUAUACUUUUCGUCCCUUACCUUUUGGCAGAGUCUAGAUAUGGUCCCUCAACUUCGAAAACGAACAAUUGAAACCCUCAAUAAUGAAACCGGACCAGGUUCAUCCCUGGUGGCUUUGAGCAGUUUUGGUACUGACUCACCCCGCUUUUGACCGAUGCUGACUUAAAUAUGUGUAUAUUUUUCAACUUCAUGAAUCUUUUGAAAUUGAUGUACCUUUUUCAAAUUUGUGUACUUUUUCACGUUCGGGUAAUAAUUUCAAAUUCACCUAACUUUUCAGAAUCCGCACUAUUCUCAAAUCCACAUGCUUUUUCAAGUCCAUGAAUUUUUCAAAUUCGUAUAUUUGUUUCUAGUUUGCAUAUUUUUUCCAAACCCGCCUACUUUUUUCAAGUUCGUGUACUACUUUCAAAUUGAUGUACUUUUUCAAAUUCAUGAACUUUUGUAGAAAUUACGUUAAUUCGAGUCAAAACACGGUCAAAACGAGCGAAAGUCAACACCCAAUGAGUCAAAACCGUGUCAGAGAUGAACCUUGCCCGGUUUUAAUAGUUAGGGAUGCAAAUUGUCCAAUUUCGGAAUUGAUGGACCAAAUCUAGACUCUGCCAAGAGUUAAGGGAGGAGAAAUAUACUUUUCUCAUUAACAAUUCCUACGGGUGUGCUUUGAUAUGUUUGGAUUGUACCUAAAGACUACCCUACAGAAAUGUUUGUCCUGGCCCAAAAAUAAGGGGCUGUUUGGAUUGAUGUCCCAACCUGCCCAGCCAAUUUGUUUGCAAUAAGCGAGUGCAUGUGAAAGCUUUCGGUUGAUGGCAAAUAUUUUGACGAACCUUCCCAGUCCAUUUUCACGCCAACGGAUGGUGAGAUGCGGGCAUGAGUUGCGCCAGUAUUUAGGGGUGCUCAUGCAUUGGUACGGCUAGCGCAGGCUAAAUCGAAACAUCUCUUAGAGCAUAUACAUGCGCGGUCAUCAAACCCGGCCUCACAAACAUCUGUGAACGCGUUCGGAUACGUCUUCAGGUAUUGAUCCGGUACCAUAUAUUAAUACUAAAGCUUGCAACGUGAAUGAAACUGCAUAGAUCAUCAACUGGACAUAGAACAUGACAUGCAAAUGUGCAUUUCGAUCAUCUUGAUUUUAUACAAAAAUGUUUUCUUAUUCAAAAAAGUUCAAAAUAUUGAAAACAAUGUCCAGCAAAUCAAAAAAUGUUAACGAUUUGUAAAAAAUAUGUAUGAAGAAAUGUUAACGAGAUUAAAAAGCAAUUCUCCAAUUUAUAAAAUAUUCAUGAAUGGAAAAUAUCAUAAAAAGUCAAAAACUGUUAGUGACUUUCGAAAUAGCUUAUUCAUUCAUAAAAUGUUUGCUAAUUCAAAAAAUGUUUGUUAGAUCAAAAAAUUGUUCAUGAAUUUCAAAAAUUGUUCCACCAAUUUCCAAAAAAAUGUUCGUCGAUUCAAGAAAAUUGUUUAAAAAAUGUUCAGAAUUCGGAAAAAUGUUUGCAAAUAUUAUAAAAUGCUUAUGAAUUCAAAAAUUGUUCUUGAUUUUAUAAAAUGUUUAAAACAAUUAUAAGUGUUCAUGAAUUUGAAAAAUGUUGACGAUUUCAAAUAUGUGCAUGAGUUUAAAAAUUGUUCAUGAUUUAAAAAAGUAUUAUUGAUUUCACGAAAUUGAGAGUCAUAGUAUAUCUCAGUCAUGCAGCAAAAUGUGGUCAUCGUCAUUGAAAAUUUUGAUUUUUGUUCUCCUGUUGCAACGCACGGGACGUUUUGCUAGUCAAUACUAAAGCAUGCAACGUGAAUGAUACUGCAUAGAUCAUCAAUUGGGCACAGAAACGAAUAUAGAAAUGCAUAUUUUGAUUAUGAGAAAAUCACCAACGGAUCUUCUAAAGAUCACCAGAGUUUACAUAAUCCAUAUAAACGAGGAAAAAGUUUAAACUCGAUUACUAAAACCUUAACAUUAAAGACAGAGACGACAGAGCUUCACCACUUCCUCGCCAUCCCUUUUCCCUUCCGGUCGUCAAUGUUGUCGUAGACGUUCUGGUAAGCAUCCACCACAGGAGGUGGGUCGUGGGAGGAAUAAUCAGGGAUGAUGAUGAAACCCUUCAUCCACCGGACAACACAGUCUGGCUUCCUCUUAGGCUUCGUAACCCUCGUCUCCUCGUGUUCGGACUGCUCAAUGGCUAGCCACCGCGCCUUGGUGUUCUUCCUUCAGAGCGACGCAGAGGAGGUGGACGAUGGAGGGGCGACACAUAUUGAGCAGCCCGCAUGAGGCUACGCGCAGGUACGGAGGGGCCAGCUUCGACGCAGGCGGGCAAGCGGCGAUAGACCAGAUCUGGAACCCCCUCGGCGAUGACCGCUCCAUCGCAAUGUGGAGUUCCACCUGGUCAUCAUCAUCGACGGAGCCGUCGGAAUGGUUGCCCGAGCUUGGCAUGUUCACCGACGAUGUGGAUUGGAUGAAUCGGGGAAGAGGGGGGGAAGAGACGGAGCGAAAUGGAGUGAAGUGAGUAUAGGGUUUCCGAAUUGAGGUUUUUUGGAGACGGACUGACGUGCCGGAUGCGCUUGGCGUGCCCCAUGUCCCCACUACAUUUAGGAUAUAUAUGAAAAAUUCCAAACAGUCCGGACAUUUAAAGUCGGUUUAAGACAUCUCGAUAGAUGGUUUUACAUUUAAAAUCGAUUUAAGAUAUCCGGAUAGAUGGUUUUAUUUUUGACCGAUGUCUGACCACCCAUACUAUAGAGACGGUUUUGAGGUGCUCGGAUAUAGGUGCUCGUCUUUGUUUGAAUGGUUACCAAUUUUUUGAUAUACCAAUGCACUUAAGCCAACUAGUUUAUUUUCUUACCAACGUUAACCAGCUCAUGUGCAACCAAACCUUAAGGGUAAUUUUGACCAUAAACCAAACGCACUCAUAGUACACACGGAAAAGAAGUAGGCCGAGGUAUAUCACUGUGCUCCGGUGGCCGGCCUCUCCACGAGCCGGAGUGGCAGUACCUGCUGCUGCAGUGGCCUCUGCGCAAACGGAGCACGCGAGAGGGGUCGCCUGGAAAUGGAGCAAACUAGCUCGAGCCACGAGGAAGGAAGACUGCCGUAUGCAUCAGCGGCCUUUUCAGGUCUGCACACUCUUCUCCAAGCUGCCUUUUGACCCUGGAGUUGGCAAGGCAACGGGCGGGAGAUGACUGCUGGGUGCGAAGUGGACUGCGGCACGGCAGGCAGGGAACAGGAGGCGGCCCCCAUGGCCGCGCGUAGGGAACAGUACCUGGCAUCGCCGCCUGCCUGCUUCCCGAGAAAUCGCGAGUCUGCUCCAUUCACCGGGCCAUGAGAUUCGCAUCGAUUUUCCUGGCACCCCGCGUUCAUGUGGUAUCUGUUUGGCAAGGGAAAUGCUUACAGCCGGAGCGUUAGGUUCGUUCAGCCGGUCGCUCGCGGCUUGCGCCCCCUGCAGCAGCUAUACAACAUUGUUUUAGUACAGAUUUAUUGUAAUUAUGUAUAAAUUUAGUACAUUGGUUCACACAUGCAAUAUUUUUUUAGCAUAGAUUUACUACAAACGCGGUUAAAUUUGCUACAAGCCUUUAUUUUAUUUUAUUACAACUUGUUCAUUAAAAAGUUGCAUCCAUGUUUGGUUGCAAUUCGAGUUCGUUGCUUUUUUUUGCUACAACUCGUGUUUGAUUUUUGCUACAACCGUGUUAAUUUUUGUUACAACCGGCUUCACUUUUUUGCUGCAACCGUUCACUAAAAAAGUUGCAUACACGUUCGUCAGAGUUUGCAACCCGAGUUCACCGGAUUGUUUUGCUACAACCCUUUUUUCUUUUGCUACUACGCAUCAUCAGCUUCGGUUUUUUUCUACAAUCACGUAGAUAUUUUUUUGGCUACAACAUUUUUUUGUUGCAACCGUUGACGAAAUUGCCGCAUCGUAGACGAAAUUUAUUGCAUUGUGGAAAAAUUGCUGCAUGGAGAUCUAAUGGCACGGCCCGCAUACAGCUGGUGGAUCGGCCGGCCCGCGUGCGGCCGACCGAACGAUUCGGCUGGCGCGGCGACGCAGAGCAUUGCCCUUUGGUUAUCGGCAUCCGUGGCCCAAUUCAGUCAUACAAGUCAAAAAAUCAAUUUUGUAUGCAUCUCUUUCAGCCUGGCUGAGCAGAGCAGCAUCGACUCAUGUUUGUUUGUCUGCAUGUUCUAUCCAGAUGCAAAGAGCCAUGGGUCCUAUUUGGAUCCAUGGAUUAGAAUUAGAGUUGGUUAGAACAACUUCAACGGAUCGAUCCAAACGGACAACGAUUUCGUCCGAUUAUUGUUCGUUUGGGUCGGCCGCCCGCCCUGCGUCUGUCCCGUUUUAGAUAUGGGUCGACAGCGCGCCCAACGCGUCGACCCAUAUGUGCCGGUGUGGUCGGCUGGCCGUCCUAGUAUCAUUUGUCAUAGUUGUGGCAGUUGACAGUAAAGUUCACCGCUAGGCUGUUGCCUUCGGCAAGCCUAGCAAACACCGGCGAGCGCUGAAGCACGUUGAUAUCAUUGUGUGAUCCGGCCAUGUCAAAGAAAGAGUGUCAGAUACAGAGAUCUUCAGACGCAACGGCCUCUAGUAUGACAGUGCAAGCCUUGACAUGGCCCUUAUGUUGCCCUUGUCAAGCAGAAGGGCAACUCUUCCACUCCCAGUGCAUGCAGUCUAUGCUACCAAGCAUCCAUAGGAAGCCCCUGCUGGCAUUCAUCACCAACAAACGGAUUGUAUCUUCAGCAGUCGGCUCUCUCAAAUACUCAGGGCCAAAGACAGCAAUAACAGCCUUGCAGAACUUAUACAGGGACUCUAGGCAAGUAGACUCGCUUAUACGGACGUACUCGUCAAUAAGAUCACCAGGCACUCCGUAUGCAAGCAUUCGGAUGGCGGCAGUGCAUCUGAUCAGAGGAAAAACCUAUCUUGCCAACGGCAUCCUCUUUGCACUCGAAAUAGUCAUCAUAACCGACCACCCCUCUCUAUUACGGUUGAAAAGAUGCCUACUCAUACGGAAACGGCGGCGGAAUUUUUGAUGCUUGAACAACGGGUUUGCCCUGCGGGCGUCGACGAAGAAGACAGCCGACGAAGGGAGUCGCGGUGCGCACGGACCAGCUAGCUGCCCUGCCGGUGUCCGGUGUCCGACAAGCGUGCCGUUGAGGAUCUGACCAGGCGGUGAGGCGGCUCCCCGACGGGCUGUGUGGUGGGGGGCGCGGGAGUGGAAAGCAGUUGGCUCCCCAGCGGCAAGACGACGGCGUCGGCGGGCGACGUGGAGUGGGCGGCGUUGCUGGGCGGAUGUGUUGGAAAUAUGCCCUAGAGGCAAUAAUAAAUUGGUUAUUAUAAUAUUUCCUUGUUCAUGAUAAUCGUUUAUUAUCCAUGCUAUAAUUGUAUUGAUUGGAAACUCAAAUAUAUGUGUGGAUACAUAGACAAAACACUGUCCCUAGUAAGCCUCUAGUUGACUAGCUCGUUGAUCCAAGAUGGUUAAGGUUUCCUAGCCAUAGACAAGAGUUGUCACUUGAUAACGGGAUCACAUCAUUAGGAGAAUGAUGUGAUGGACAAGACCCAAAUUAUAAACGUAGCAUAUGAUCAUGUCAGUUUAUUGAUACUGUUUUCUGUAUGUCAAUGUAUCUGUUCCUAUGACCAUGAGAUCAUGCAACUCCCGCACACCGGAGGAAUACCUUGUGUGUAUCAAACUUCGCAACUUAACUGGGUGACUAUAAAGGUGCUCUACAUGUAUCUCCAAAGGUGUCUGUUGGGUUGGCAUGGAUCAAGACUCGGAUUUAUCAUUCCGUGUGACGAAGAGGUAUCUCGGGGCCCACUCGGUAAUACAACAUCACAUAUAAGCCUUGCAAGCAAUGUGACUAAAGUGUUAGUCACGGGAUCUUGUAUUACGGAACGAGUAAAGAGACUUGCCGGUAACGAAAUUGAACUAGGUAUUGAGAUACCGACGAUCGAAUCUCGGGCAAGUAACAUACCGAUGGACAAAGGGAACAACAUACGGGAUUAACUGAAUCCUUGACAUAGAGGUUCAACCGAUAGAGAUCUUCGUAGAAUAUGUGGGAACCAAUAUGGACAUCCAGGUCCCGCUAUUGUUUAUUGACCGGAGAAUGUAUUAGAUCAUGUCUACAUAGUUUUCGAACCCGCAUGGUGUGCAAACUUAAGGUUCCGUGACGUUUCGGUAUAGUUGAGUUAUAUGUGUUGGUGACCUAAGUUUGGUUUGGAGUCCCGGAUGAGAUCCCAGACGUCACGAGGAGUUCUGGAAUGGUCCGGAAACGAAGAUUGAUAUAUAGGAAGUUGGUAUUUGGAUUUCGGAAGGUUUUCAGGCAUUGCCGGCAGUGUACCGGGAGUAACGAAUGGGUUUCGAGGGACCACUGGGUGGGCCCACCACACCCCAAGGGGGUCCACAUGGGUUUAUUGGAUGCGUAAUAAGGCAUAAUGGGCUGACAAAGUCAUCCAAGGAAAUCCCAUGAGGAAAAAGUGGAAAAUCCAAAAGAGGUGGUAAAUUUAGGAAGGAGUCCUAAUCCAAUUGGGAUUGGAGGAGGACUCCUCCCUGUUGGGGAACGUCGCAUGGGAAACAAAAAAUUUCCUACGCGCACGAAAACCUAUCAUGGUGAUGUUCAUCUACGAGGGGGAUUUCAGAUCUACGUACCCUUGUAGAUCGCACAACAGAAGCGUUAAUAAACGCGGUUGAUGUAGUGUAACGUCCUCACGUCCCUCGAUCCGCCCCGCGAACCGUCCCACGAACCGUCCCGCGAUCUGUCCCAAGAUCCGCUCCGAUCUAGUGUCGAACGGACGGCACCUCCGCGUUCAGCACACGUACAGCUCGACGAUGAUCUCGGCCUUCUUGAUCCAGCAAGAGAGAUGGAGAGGUAGAUGAGUUCUCCGGCAGCGUGAUGGUGCUCCGGAGGUUGGUGNCCUUCCGGUAAUCAAAUGUGGCCAUCCUAUAUAUCAAUCUUCGUCUCCGGACCAUUCCGGAAACCCUCGUGACGUCCGUGAUCUCAUCCGGGACUCCGAACAACAUUCGGUAACCAACCAUAUAACUCAAAUACGCAUAAAACAACGUCGAACCUUAAGUGUGCAGACCUUGCGGGUUCGAGAACUAUGUAGACAUGACCCGAGGAACUCCUCGGUCAAUAUCCAAUAGCGGGACCUGGAUGCCCAUAUUGGAUCCUACAUAUUCUACGAAGAUCUUAUCGUUUGAACUUAAGUGCCAAGGAUUCAUAUAAUCCCGUAUGUCAUUCCCUUUGUCCUUCGGUAUGUUACUUGCCCGAGAUUCGAUCGUCAGUAUCCGCAUACCUCUUUCAAUCUCGUUUACCGGCAAGUCUCUUUACUCGUUCCGUAAUACAAGAUCCCGCAACUUACACUAAGUCACAUUGCUUGCAAGGCUUCUGUGUGAUGUUGUAUUAACAAGUGGGCUCCGAGAAACCUCUCCGUCACACGGAGUGACAAAUCCCAGUCUUGAUCCAUACUAACUCAACGGACACCUUCGGAGAUACCUGUAGAGCAUCUUUAUAGCCACCCAGUUACGUUGUGACGUUUGAUACACACAAAGUAUUCCUCUGGUGUCAGUGAGUUAUAUGAUCUCAUGGUCAUAGGAAUAAAUACUUGACACGCAAAAACAGUAGCAACAAAAUGACACAAUCAACAUGCUACGUCUAUUAGUUUGGGUCUAGUCCAUCACAUGAUUCUCCCAAUGACGUGAUCCAGUUAUCAAGCAACAACACCUUGUACAUAGUCAGAAGACCCUGACUAUCCUUGAUCAAAUGGCUAGCCAACUAGAGGCUUGCUAGGGACAGUGUUUUGUCUAUGUAUCCGCACAUGUAUCUAAGUCUUCAUUCAAUACAAUUAUAGCAUGGAUAAUAAACGAUUAUCUUGAUACAGGAAUUAUAAUAAUAACUUAUUUAUCAUUGCCUCUAGGGCAUAAUUCCAACAGUCUCCCACAUGCACUAGAUUCAAUAAUCUAGGCCUCACAUCACCAUGCGAAUUACAUUGUAAUAAAUCUAACACCCAUACAGUUCUGGUGUUGAUCAUGCUUUCCCCGUGGAAGAGGUUUAGUCAGCGGGUCUGCUACAUUCAGAUCCGUGUGCACUUUGCAUAUAUUUACGUCCUCGCCAUCGACGUAGUCGCGGAUGAGGUUGAAGCGUCAUUUGAUGUGUCUGGUCUUGUUGUGAAACUGUGGUUCCUUUGCUAAGACAAUGGCACCGAUGUUGUCACAGAACAAGGUUAUUGGAUUCAGUGCGCUUGGCACCACUCCAAGAUCCGUCAUGAACUGCUUCAUCCAGACACCCUCCUUAGACGCCUCCGAGGCAGCCAUGUACUCCUCUUCACAUGUAGAAUCAGCUAUGACGCUUUGCUUGGAACUGCACCAGCUUAUCGCACCCCCAUUAAGAAUAAAUACGUAUCCGGUCUGCGACUUAGAGUCGUCCGGAUCCGUGUCAAAGCUUGCAUCGACGUAACCUUUUACGACGAGCUCUUCAUCACCUCCAUACACGAGAAACAUCUCAUUAGUCAUUUUCAGGUGCUUCAGGAUAUUCUUGAUCGCCGUCCAGUGAUCCACUCGUGGAUUACUCUGGAACCUGCCUGCCAUACUUAUGGCCAGGCUAACGUCCGGUCUAGUGCACAGCAUUGCAUACAUGAUAGAACCUAUGGAUGAAGCAUAGGGGACGGUGCUCAUAUGCUCUCCAUCUUUAUCAGUUGCUGGGCACUGAGUCUUACUCAAUCUCGUACCUUGUAAAACUAGCAAGAACCCCUUCCUGGACUGUUCCAUUUUGAACCUCUUCAAAACUUUAUCAAGGUAAGUACUUUGUGAAAAGUCCUAUCAAGCGUUUCGAUCUAUCCCUAUAGAUCUUAAUGCCUAGAAUGUAAGGAGCUUCUCCAAGGUCCUUCAUAGAGAAACUAUUAUUCAAGUAAUCCUUUAUACUCUCCAAAAACUCCACGUUGUUUCCAAUCAGCAAUAUGUCAUCCACAUAUAAUAUUAGAAACGCCACAGAUCUCCCACUAACUUUCUUGUAAAUACAAGAUUCUCUAACCACUUGUAUAAACCCAAAUGCUUUGAUCACCUCAUCAAAGCGUUUAUUCCAACUUCGAGAUGCUUGCACCAGUCCAUAAAUGGAUCGCUGGAGCUUGCAAACUUUGUUAGCAUUUUUAGGAUUGACAAAACCUUCGGGUUGCAUCAUAUACAACUCUUCCUUAAGGAAACCAUUAAGGAACGCCGUUUUGACAUCCAUCUGCCAGAUUUCAUAAUCGAAAAAUGCAGCUAUUGCUAACAUGAUUCUGACGGACUUAAGCAUCGCUACGGGUGAGAAUGUCUCAUCAUAGUCAACUCCUUGAACGUGUGAAAAACCCUUUGCCACAAUUCGAGCUUUAUAAACGGUCACAGUACCGUCAGCGUCCGUCUUCUUCUUAAAGAUCCAUUUGUUCUGAAUAGCCUUGCGGCCUUCAGGUAGUACUUCCAAAGUCCAUACUUUGUUUUCAUACAUAGAUCCUAUCUCGGACUUCAUGGCCUCCAGCCAUUUGUUGGAAUCCGGGCCCACCAUUGCUUCUUCAUAAUUCGCAGGCUCAUUGUUGUCUAACAACAUAAUUGAUAAGACGGGAUUACCGUACCACUCUGGAGUAGUACGCGGUCUCGUCGACCUACGAGGUUCGACAGGAACUUGAUCUGGAGUUUCAUGAUCAUCAUCAUUAACUUCCUCCUCAACCGGCGUCGCAACGACAGGAGUUUCCCCUUGCCCUGCGCCACCAUCCAGAGGGAUGAGAGGUUCGACAACCUCAUCAAGUUCUAUCUUCCUCCCACUCAAUUCUCUCGAGAGAAACUCCUUCUCGAGAAAAGCUCCGUUCUUAGCAACAAACACUUUGCCCUCGGAUUUGAGAUAGAAGGUAUACCCAAGUGUCUCUUUCGGGUAACCUAUGAAGAUGCACUUUUCCGCCUUGGGUUGCAGCUUUUCAUGCUGAAGCUUUUUGACAUAAGCAUCACAUCCCUAAACUUUAAGAAAUGACAACUUUGGUAUUUUGCCAUACCACAGUUCGUAUGGUGUCGUCUCAACGGAUUUUGAUGAUGCCCUAUUUCAAGUGAAUGCAGUUGUUUCUAAUGCAUAACCCCAAAACGAUAACGGCAAAUCGGUAAGAGACAUCAUAGAUCGCACCAUCUCUAAUAAAGUACGAUUACGACGUUCGGACACACCAUUACGCUCUGGUGUUCCAGGUGGUGUCAACUGUGAAACAAUUCCACAUUGUCUUAAGUGAGCACCAAACUCGAAACUCAGAUAUUCACCCCACGAUCAGACCGUAGGAAUUUGAUCUUCUUGUUACGAUGAUUUUCAACUUCACUCUGAAAUUGCUUGAACUUUUCAAAUGUUUCAGACUUGUGCUUCAUUAAGUAGACAUAACCAUAUCUACUCAAAUCGUCAAUGAAGGUGAGAAAAUAACGAUAUCCGCCGUGUGCCUCCACGCUCAUCGGACCACACACAUCGGUAUGUAUGAUUUCCAACAAGUCACUUGCACGCUCCAUUGUUCCGGAGAAUGGAGUUUUAGUCAUCUUGCCCAUGAGGCACGGUUCGCACGUGUCAAGUGAAUCAAAGUCAAGUGACUCCAAAAGUCCAUCGGUAUGGAGUUUCUUCAUGCUCUUUACACCAAUAUGACCUAAGCGGCAGUGCCACAAAACAUGGCGCUAUCAUUGUUAACUCUAACUCUUUUGGUCUCAAUGUUAUGUAUAUGUGUAUUAUCACUAUUAAGAUUCAAUAUGAACAAUCCUCUCACAUUGGGUGCAUGACCAUAAAAGAUAUUACUCAUAGAAAUAGAACAACCAUUAUUCUCUGACUUAAACGAGUAACCGUCUCGCAAUAAACAAGAUCCAGAUGUAAUGUUCAUGCUCAACGCAGGCACUAAAUAACAAUUAUUCAAGUUCAUAACCAAUCCUGAUGGUAACUGAAGCGAAACUGUGCCGACGGCGAUUGCAUCAACCUUGGAACCAUUUCCCACGCGCAUCGUGACCUCAUCUUUUGCCAGCCUUUGCCUAUUCCGCAGUUCCUGUUUCGAGUUGCAAAUAUGAGCAACAGAACCGGUAUCGAAUACCCACGCACUACUACGAGAGCUGGUUAAGUACACAUCAAUAACAUGUAUAUCAAAUAUACCUGAUUUUUCUUUGGCCGCCUUCUUAUCAGCCAGAUACUUGGGGCAGUUGCCCUUCCAGUGACCCAUACCCUUGCAAUAAUAGCACUCUGUUUAAGGCUUAGGUCCAGCCUUGGGUUUCUUCGUCGGAUUGGCAACAGGUUUGCCGCUAUUCUUUGAAUUAUCCUUCUUUCCUUUGCCGUUUCUCUUGAAACUAGUGGUCUUAUUCGCCAUCAACACUUGAUGUUCUUUACGGAGUUCUGACUCUGCGACUUUCAGCAUCACGAACAACUCGCCGGGUGACUUGUUCAUCCCUUGCAUGUUGUAGUUCAACACAAAGCCCUUAUAGCUUGGCGGCAGUGAUUGAAGAAUUCUGUCAGUGAUAGCCUCUUGCGGGAAUUCAAUCCCCAACUGAGCUAGACGGUUUGAGUACCCAGACAUUGUGAGCACGUGUUCACUGACAAACGAAUUCUCCUCCAUCUUGCAAGCAUAGAAUUUAUCGGAGGUCUCAUACCUCUCGAUCCGGGUGUUCUUCUGAAAGAUAAACUUCAACUCCUAGAACAUCUCAUAUGCUCCAUGACGCUCAAAGCGACGUUGAAGUCCCGGUUCUAAGCCAUACAAGACUGCACAUUGAACUACUGAGUAGUCCUCCUUACGUGUUAACCAAGCGUUCUUAACAUCUUGGUCAGCCGUAGCGGGUGGUUCAUCUCCUAGCGCAGCAUUAAGGACAUAAUCCUUCUUCCCAGCUUGCAGGAGCAACUUAAGAUUAUGAGCCCAGUCUACAAAGUUUCUUCCAUCAUCUUUCAACNNNNNNNNNNNNNNNNNNNNNNNNNNNNNNNNNNNNNNNNNNNNNNNNNNNNNNNNNNNNNNNNNNNNNNNNNNNNNNNNNNNNNNNNNNNNNNNNNNNNNNNNNNNNNNNNNNNNNNNNNNNNNNNNNNNNNNNNNNNNNNNNNNNNNNNNNNNNNNNNNNNNNNNNNNNNNNNNNNNNNNNNNNNNNNNNNNNNNNNNNNNNNNNNNNNNNNNNNNNNNNNNNNNNNNNNNNNNNNNNNNNNNNNNNNNNNNNNNNNNNNNNNNNNNNNNNNNNNNNNNNNNNNNNNNNNNNNNNNNNNNNNNNNNNNNNNNNNNNNNNNNNNNNNNNNNNNNNNNNNNNNNNNNNNNNNNNNNNNNNNNNNNNNNNNNNNNNNNNNNNNNNNNNNNNNNNNNNNNNNNNNNNNNNNNNNNNNNNNNNNNNNNNNNNNNNNNNNNNNNNNNNNNNNNNNNNNNNNNNNNNNNNNNNNNNNNNNNNNNNNNNNNNNNNNNNNNNNNNNNNNNNNNNNNNNNNNNNNNNNNNNNNNNNNNNNNNNNNNNNNNNNNNNNNNNNNNNNNNNNNNNNNNNNNNNNNNNNNNNNNNNNNNNNNNNNNNNNNNNNNNNNNNNNNNNNNNNNNNNNNNNNNNNNNNNNNNNNNNNNNNNNNNNNNNNNNNNNNNNNNNNNNNNNNNNNNNNNNNNNNNNNNNNNNNNNNNNNNNNNNNNNNNNNNNNNNNNNNNNNNNNNNNNNNNNNNNNNNNNNNNNNNNNNNNNNNNNNNNNNNNNNNNNNNNNNNNNNNNNNNNNNNNNNNNNNNNNNNNNNNNNNNNNNNNNNNNNNNNNNNNNNNNNNNNNNNNNNNNNNNNNNNNNNNNNNNNNNNNNNNNNNNNNNNNNNNNNNNNNNNNNNNNNNNNNNNNNNNNNNGAACAACAUUCGGUAACCAACCAUAUAACUCAAAUACGCAUAAAACAACGUCGAACCUUAAGUGUGCAGACCCUGCGGGUUCGAGAACUAUGUAGACAUGACUCGAGGUACUCCUCGGUCAAUAUCCAAUAGCGGGACCUAGAUGCCCAUAUUGGAUCCUACGUAUUCUACGAAGAUCUUAUCGUUUGAACCUCAGUGCCAAGGAUUCAUAUAAUCCCGUAUGUCAUUCCCUUUGUCCUUCGAUAUGUUACUUGCCCGAGAUUCGAUCGUCAGUAUCCGCAUACCUAUUUCAAUCUCGUUUACUGGUAAGUCUCUUUACUCGUUCCGUAAUACAAGAUCCCGCAAUUUACACUAAGUCACAUUGCUUGCAAGGCUUGUGUGUGAUGUUGUAUUACCGAGUGGGCCCCGAGAUACCUCUCCGUCACAUGGAGUUACAAAUCCCAGUCUUGAUCCAUACUAACUCAACGGACACCUUCGGAGAUACCUGUAGAGCAUCUUUAUAGCCACCCAGUUAUGUUGUGACAUUUGAUAAACACAAGGUAUUCCUCCGGUGACAGUGAGUUAUAUGAUCUCAUGGUCAUAUGAAUAAAUACUUGACACACAGAAAACAGUAGCAACAAAAUGACACGAUCAACAUGCUACGUCUAUUUGUCUGGGUCUAGUCCAUCACAUGAUUCUCCCAAUGAUGUGAUCCAGUUAUCAAGCAACAACACCUUGUACAUAGUCAGAAGACCCUGACUAUCCUUGAUCAACUGGCUAGCCAACUAAAGGCUUGCUAGGGACAGUGUUUUGUCUAUGUAUCCACACAUGUAUCUAAGUCUUCAUUCAAUACAAUUAUAGCAUGGAUAAUAAACGAUUAUCUUGAUACAGGAAUUAUAAUAAUAACUUAUUUAUCAUUGCCUCUAGGGCAUAAUUCCAACACUCCCUCCUCCACUUCGGCCGACCCAAGGGAGCCUCCCUUGUAGAGCCAAGGACGCCUCCUCCCUCCUCCCUUUUUGAGACACAACUUUGCCACGUGAUUCCCUCUCCUCUAGAUCGUAGUUCUUCCUCUAGAUCGGUUUUCUGCGGAGCUCGGGCGGAGCCCUGCAGGAAUAGAUCACCACCGGAGCGCCAUCACGCUGUCGGGGAACUCAUCUACAUCCUCGUCUCUCUUGCUGGAUCAAGAAGGUGGAGAUCGUCAUCGAGCUGUACGUGUGCGGAACGCGGCAGUGUCGUCUGUUCGACACUUGAUCGAGACGGUUCGUGGGACGGAUCGUGAAGACGUACCACUACAUCAACCGCGUUUAUUAACGAUUCCGCUUAGAGAUCUACAAGGGUAUGUGGAUCCGAUCUCCCUCUCGUAGAUGAGCAUCACCAUGAUAGGUCUUCGUGUGCGUAGGAAAUUUUUUGUUUCCCAUGCAACGUUCCCCAACAGGAUGUGGAGGCGCCGACAUUUGGCAGAGUCAUCGGAAAAAUGGGCGGCGGUGUUGGCGACGAAGGAGGCACGCGAGGGUUGGAUGUGGGAGGCCAAUGUGCAUCUGAUAACCCAAAAGUAUAGGGGAUCGCAACAGUUUUCGAGGGUAGAGUAUUCAACCCAAAUUUAUUGAUUCGACUCAAGGGGGAGCCAAAGAAUAUUCUCAAGUAUUAGCAGCUGAGUUGUCAAUUCGACCACACCUGAAAGAUUUACUAUCUGCAGCAAAGUAUCAGUAGCAAAGUAGGGUGAUAGCAGCAAUAGCAACAGUAACCAGUAGCAGCAAAGUGACAGCAGUAGCAACAGAGUUACAGUAGAAGCAGUGAUAGUAGUAGAGACAAAGUAACGUAGCAAGGACCAGUAGUAAAAGAGUCGUAGGCAUUGGAUCGGUGAUGGAUGAUUAUGCUGGAUGCUAUUCAUCAUGCAAAAGUUAUAACACGGAGAGAUAUGUAACUAGCUCCAGUUCGUCAAUCUAAUGUAGGCAUGUAUUCCGUAUGUAGUCAUACGUGCUUAGGGAAAAGAACUUGCAUGACAUCUAUUGUCCAUCCCUCCCGUGGCAUCGGGGUCCUAAUGGAAAGUACAGGAUAUUAAGGUUCUCCUUUUAAUAAAGAACCGGACCAACGCAUUAAGACUUGGUGAAUACAUGAACUCCUCAUACUAUGGUCAUCUCCGGGAGUGGUUCCGACUAUUGUCACUCCGGGGUUGCCGGUCAUAACACAUAGUAGGUGACUACAACUUGCAAGAUAAGAUCAAGAACACACAUAUAUUGGCGAGAACAUAAUAGGUUUAGAUCUGAAAUCAUGGCACUCGGGUCAUAGUGACAAGCAUUAAGCAUGGCAAAGUAGUAGCAACAUCAAUCUGAGAACAUAGUGGAUACUAGGGAUCAAUCCCCGUCAAAACUAACUCGAUUACAUGAUAGAUCUCAUCCAACCCAUCACCGUCCAGCAAGUCUACGAUGAGAUUACUCACGAACGGUGAAGAGCAUCAUGGAAUUGGCGAUGAAGUAAGGUUGGUGAUGACGAUGGCGACGAUCUCCCGUCUCCGGAGCCCAGAACGGACUCCAGAUCUGCCCUCCAGAUGAACAAGAGGAGGUGGCGGCGCCUCCGUAUCGUAAAACGCGAUGAACUCUUCUCCUUGAUUUUUUUCCGGGCAAGACGGACUAAAUAGAGCUGAGAUUGGAGGCGGUGUAGCGUCGUGGGCUCCACAAGCCUGCCAGGCGCGGCCAGGGGGGUGCCUGGUGGGCUUGUGGGCUCACGGCUCCACUUCCUCCGCUGAUUCUUGCGCCACUAUUUUUCAUAAAUUCCAGAAAAAUUCUCCGUAAAUUUUCAGGUCAUUCCGAGAACUUUCAUUUCUGUGCAAAAACAACACCAUGGCAAUUCUACUGAAAACAACGUUAGUCCGGGUUAGUUCCAUUCAAAUCAUGCAAAUUAGAGUCCAAAAUAAGGGCAAAAGAGUUCGGAAAAGUAGAUACGACGGAUACGUAUCAACUCCCCCAAGCUUAAAGCCUUGCUUGUCCUCAAGCAAUUCAGUUGACAAACUGAAAGAGACAAAAGAAAAACUUUGACGAACUCUUUUUGAUCUUGUUGUUGCAACUAUGUCUAGCUCAUAUCUAGAAUUUCAGCAAGAUCACAAGCAAACCACAAAAGCAAAUGACAUCUAGGUCUCACGGUAAACUCAUAUCAAUGGCAUAAUCAACUAGCGAGCAAAUAAUAACAAGUCUCAAACGUCAACACUUCAAUCAAAACAAUCAUGAAGCAGUAUGAAUAGAUGGUAUCUCGCUGGCUCUUUCUGAGAUCGGAAAACAUAAAUGUAGAGCACCUUCAAAGACCAAGGGCUGACUAAACAUUGUAAUUCAUGGCAAAGAAGAUCCAGUCAUAGUCAUACUCAACACAGUUAAAAGCAAAGCAUAAAAAUGACAGAGGUGCUCUCUAAUUGGUGCUUUUACAAGAGGAGGAUGACUCAACAAGAACAUAAAUAGACAGGCCCUUCGCAGAGGGGAGCAUUGAUUUGCAGAGGUGCGAGAGCUCAAGCUUUGAAAACAGAGAUAAUAAUUUUGGGUGGCAUGCUUUCAUUGUCAACGCAAUGACUAAGAGUUCUCACCAUCUUCCACGCUACACAUGCUAUAGGAGGUUCCCAAACAGAAAAGUAAAGUUUUGACUCCCCCACCACCAAUCAAUCACACUCCACGACUAGCCGAAUACUCGGGUACCGUCCAUACCAACAUCAAUCCUGGGGGAGUUUUGUUUAAAAUUAUCUUUUCGAUUUGAGCAUGGAACUGGGAAUUCCAAUUACCGGCCCCUUUCUCGUGAAUGAUAGUGAAUAAAGACAUAUCGAGGAUAACACGCCUAGCAUGGAAGAUACUGAUAGCCCCCUGUCACCACAUGAGCGAUUCAGGAAUGCAAAAUAGAUUAUUUCUUGAAGGUUUAAAGAGUGGCACAUGCAAAUUUACUUGGAACGGCAGGUAGAUACCGCACAUAGGUAGGUAUGGUGGACUCAUAUGGAACAACUUUGGGUUUAUGGGAGUGGAUGCACAAGCAAUAUUCCCGCUUAGUACAAGUGAAGGCUAGCAAAAGACCGGGAAGCGACCAACUAGAGAGCGACAACAGUCAUCAAAAUGCAUUGAGAUUAACUAACAUUGAGUGCAAGCAUGAGUAGGACAUAAAUCACCAUGAACAUGAAUAUCAUAGAGGCUAUGUUGAUUUUGUUUCAACUACAUGUUGAACAUGCGCCAAGUCAACCCACUUGAAUCAUUCAAAGGAGGAUAUCAUCCUAUCAUACUACAUCAUAAUCAUCUCAAAAUUCAUGUUGGCAACCAAGACAGACCAUUAUAAGCUCCUAGCUAAUUAAGCAUGGCGUCAACAACUAUGAUCUCUAAGUUGUCAUUGCAAACAUGUUUCCCUCACAACAAAGCUGAACUAGGAACAUUGAGCUAGUCAUAUUUACAAAAACAAUAUAGAUCGAGUUCAUACCAGCUUUUCCAGGUUCAGUCACUUCAUCAUAUAUCGUCAUUAUUGCCUUUCACUUGCACGACCGAACGAUGUGAACAAUAAUAAGAGUGCUCGUGCAUUGGACUACGCUGGAAUCUGCAGGCAAACGCAAAGGAGAAGACAAAGUAAUAUGGCUCUUUGACAGCUAAACAGGUAUGCAUGCGAGAGCCACUAAACAUUGUAACCAUAGUCUUCUACCUUGAACCAAAGAAAAAAGAAAACUAUUUACACGGGAAAGCUCCCAACAAGCAAAAGAAGAAAAAGAAAAUCUUUUUGGGUUUUCUUAAACUAGAUAGACACACGAAAAGGAAACUAGAAAAAGAAAAUAAACUAGCAUGGAUGAUACAGUGGCAAAGUGUGAACACCCACGAGCAAAGUGAAAGCAUAAGCAAGAAUGUAAAGUCGGUGAGAAACACGUACUCCCCCAAGCUUAGGCUUUUGGCCUAAGUUGGUCUACUCCCAAGGAGGGAAAUAACCAGCUCCGGGGUACUCCGGAGUGGACUGAGGAUGCCACUGCUGUGUGAGCUCAUCUGACUCCCACUGAUAAACUGGCGUAUGGUACUCGACUGGUGGCUCGGGCACGAGAACCUGUGGUUGGGCUAAGCCCCAAUAUGCGUAGAUGUCCGAGGGCAUAAUAAUGUACCUGCUUGCAUGAAGAUUGAACAAAGAAGGAGCAGGCAAAGUAAUAGUCUCACGAGUACCCUGACUAAAUACCAGGUUAUAAAUCAUCCUUCUAUUUAUAUCUCUAUCAAGAAAGUCAUGGCGAACCAUGCUAUCAUAAUCUAGAUAUCUCUCGGGAAGAAGAAUUUCUUCUUCCUCGUCCAGUCUAAUAGGUAUCUCAAAGUGUCUGGCAAGAUGGGUAGCAUAGAUACCUCCAUAGACAACGCCUUUAGAACGGUUCAUGUUAAACCCUUGAGCUACUAUAGCGCCCAAGCUAUAAGUUUUAUCAUUAUAAAGGGCUUCGCGCAAGACCACAAGAUCUGGGGAACUAAGGGACCCAGCUUUCCCACGACCAAUCAAACAUUUUCCCACAAAUAAUGAGAAGUACCGAAGCACGGGAAAAUGAAUGCUAGUAGCUCUAGCGCAAGACACUCCUCUUUCCUCUCCUACAACAGUUGUAUCUAUGAAAGCCUCCAAGUCCCGUGGACGAGGUUCAUGAAUAUCCCCAACUUAAGGUAAUUUGCAAACAUUGCAAAAAUCCUGGAGUGACAUGCGUUGGGGGAUAUCAUAUAAUUUGAACUCAACCAUAGGAGGAUUCUUCCUCGGAUAGAAGUUAAAGCUUUGUACGAAGAUAUUAGUGAGGAGGAGGUAUUGCGGACACUUAUCUUCAACGAAGGCGGUAAGGCAUGCAUUCUCCACCAAGUGAUAAAAGUCCUCAUAAAGUCCGGCGGCGCGUCAGAACACAUCGCUUGGCCAUUCGCACGCUCGAACUUCUGCAACUCGAGGGACCGGAUACUUGGGCUUCUUCUCACUUCCAUCAUCCUUGGGGUCAUGGCUUGAAGAGCCUCUUAAGAACCUCCUCAUCUUUUCCCUUUUCUAUCUCGGAAAUUUUCUGAAAUUUUUAGUGACUCUAAGGAAAAGUGAACAGGGCUCAACAAAACUCAUAGCAACUACUCCCACAAGUGCCUAGGGGCCAUAUCACGCAUCAAAACUACUUGGGACCAGCUAAAAUUAGCAUGCAAAGCUCAAGAACAGGGUCACCAAAGCAGCAAAAAUACACGAAGUAUAAGGCACUAGAGCAAAAACUAAUUGGAACAAUGGAGGAGUCACUUACCAAGGAAUAAUUUCCCAAAAACAGUUCGGAGAAUGGUGCUUUGAGCAAGGAGAUCGAAAAUCCCAACAAGAAGAGCAAGAACACGGGUUUGAGUUGUGAAACGAUUUUUUCUGGAGGUAGGAGGAGCAGAUGGGAGCUAAAAUGAGUGGAGGGGGUGCACAUGGGCCCCACAAGCCAGGUAGGCACGGCCAGGGGGUGCCCGCGCCUCCAGGGCUUGUGGCCCACUGGUGCAGCCCCCAGACUAGCUCUGCGUCCCAGUAUUUUUCAAAAAUUCCAGAAAAAAUCAUACUUGAUUUUCAGGACGUUCGGAGAACUUUUAUUUUCGGGGUAUUUUUCCACGGGACGCUAAAACAGAAAACAGGGAAAACUAAACUAAACCUAUCUUUUUUCUUCUAAGCAACCGAAGAUGAAAGCUUCGAACAGAGGUUUGUGACUCCUCGAUUCAUCCAUCCCAUGGUCAUCGAAAGAAAUCCGUCAAUGAGGUUGAUCAAGUCUCCUUGACAAACUUUUUCGAAACACAAAAGGAGACGGAGAAUUUUCGAAUAGCCACUAGGUCACCUCAAUGGGGAUGUGUAUCAAGCAAGUCAUACUUCAUCUUAACAAGAGGAAUAGGACAUUCAAAGCUCCCAAUAAGAAUCGAUGAAGUUUUUUCGAUAGCGUUGAUGCAAUGUACUCGAUAUUGUUUCUUUGGAAAGUGCACCGUAUGCUCAUUACCGUUGACAUGGAAAGUGACAUUGCCUUUGUUGCAAUCUAUAACAGCCACUGUAGUGUUUAAAAAGGGUCUUCUGAGGAUGACCGCCAUGGCAUCGUCCUCGGAGAUAUCUAGGAUAACAAAGUCUGUUAAGAUAGUGACGUUCGCAACCACAACAGGCACAUCCUUGCAAAUGCCGAUAGGGAAAGCAGUUGAUUUGUCGGCCAUUUGCAGAGAGAUUUCAGUGGGUGUCAACUUAUCCAGUUCAAGUAUACGAUAAAGAGAGAGAGGCAUAACACUAACACCGGCUCCAAGAUCGCAUAAAGCAGUUCUAAUGUAGUUGCCUUUAAUGGAGCAAGGUAUAGUGGGCACACCGGGAUCACCUAGUUUCUUAGGAGUUCCACCCUUGAAGGUAUAAUUAGCAAGCAUGGUGGAAAUCUCAACCUCAGGUUUCCUCCUUUUAUUAGUCACAAUAUCUUUCAUGUACUUAGCAUACAGAGACAUUUUGAGCAUAUCUGGCAAACGCAUUUGCAUAAAGACAUGUCUGAUCAUUUCAACAAAUCGCUCAAAAUCCUCAUCAUCCUUUUUCUUGGAUGGUUUGGGAGGAAAGGGCAUGGGUUUCUGAACCCAUGGUUCCCUUUCUUAACCAUGCUUCCUAGCAGUGAAGACGUUCUUAUCGUAUCUUCUAUUCUUUGGCUGUGGGUUAUCAAGAUCAACUAGUUCAAUCUCCACAUCCUUAUCAUUGCUAGUUGAGCAUCAUCAUGAACAUCACUAUUGAUAUUAUCAUUAGGCUCAUGUUCAUCACCAGAUUGUGUUUCAGCAUCAGAGACAGAGACAUCGUUUGGACUCUCAGGUGUAGCAGCAACAGGGUUGCUAGCGUGCAGGUUCCUAUCAUCUUUCUUCUUCUUCCUAGGAUGACUAGGUGCAUCACUUCUAACUCCUUGAGAAUCUUGUUCAAUUCUCUUCGGAUGACCCUCAGGAUGCGAAGGUUCCUGGGUCAUUCUACCGCCUCUAGUGACGACUCUAACAGAAUUGUCAUUCAACUCAUUGAGCAAGUAAUUCUGAGAUUUAAGUACUUGUUCUACCUGAGUAGUAACCAUAGAGGCAUGUUUACUCAAAAGUUUAAGAUCAUUGACAUUUCUGUCCACACAAGCACUUAAAUGACUAAGCAUACGAGCAUUAUGUUCCAAUUGUCUACUAACAUAAUCAUUGAAACUUUGUUGUUUGGCAACAAAGUUAUCAAAUUCAUCCAGGCAUAAGCUAGCAGGUUUAUCAAAAGGAAUAUCACUCUCAUCAAACCUACGCAGAGAAUUUACUUCUACUACUUGUAUCGGGUUAUCGAGACCAUGGAUCUCUUCGAUAGGUGGUAGAUUUUUAACAUCUUCAGAUUUAAUGCCUUUCUCUUUCAUAGAUUUCUUAGCUUCUUGCAUAUCUUCAGGACUGAGGAAUAGAAUACCUCUUUUCUUUGGAGUUGGCUUAGGAGGUGAUUCGGGAAUAGUCCAAGCAUUCUCAUUGCACAAGAUCUUAUUCAAUAGAAUCUCAGCUUGUUCUGUAGUUGGUUCCCUAAAAACACAACCAGCACAACUAUCUAGGUGGUCUUUGGAAGCAUCGGUAAGUCCAUUAUAUAAGAUAUCAAGAAUUUCAUUUUUCUCAAGAGGGUGUCAGGCAAAGCAUUCAGCAGUCGGACGAGCCUCCCCCAAGCUUGUGGGAGACUCUCUUCUUCAGCUUGACCAAAGUUGUAUAUUUCCUGCAAGGCAACUUGCUUCUUAUGGGCAGGGAAAUAUUUUUCAGAGAAGUAGUAGACUAUAUCCUGGGGGCUACGCACACAACCAGGAGCAAGAGAAGUGAACCAGGUCUUAGCAUCAUCCUUUAGCGAGAAAGGAAACAACUUGACGAUAUAGUAGUGACGGAUCUUUUCCUCAGUAGUGAAUAGGGUGGCUAUAUCGUGCAGUUUGGUAAGAUUGGCUACAACCGUUUCAGACUCAUAACCAUGAAAAGGAUCAGAUUCGACCAGAGUGAUUAACUCAGGGUCGACGGAGAAUUCAUAAUCCUUCUCGGUCACAAAGAUAGGCGAAGUAGCAAACUUCGGGUCGUAUUUCAUCCUAGCGUUCAGAGAUUUUUCUUUCCACUUGAGCAGUAAUUUCUCAACAUCAUAGCUAUCCUUAAAUGUAAGAAAGUCCUCAGCUAUCUCUCCCUCCAUAACAUAACGCUCAGGCAUAACAGGCAAUUCAUGCAUAAUAGCAGGUUCUACUUCAAUAGUAUCAGUAGUUUCAGAAGUAUCAUCACAUCUAACAGCAACUCUAGCAAUUUGUGCAUCAAGGAAUGCACCUAGUGGCAAAGCAGUAUCAGGCAUAGCAUCAUCUGGCAAAGCAGUAUCAGGCAUAGCAUCAUCAGGCAAAGCAGUAUCAAGCAUAACAUCAUCAGGCAAAGCAGUAUCAAGUAUAGCAUCAUCAUAAGCAUCAUGGGCAGCAGAAGUAGCAUCAUCAAGCACACGCGACAUAUCAAGAUUUCUAACAGGAGGUGGUGUCGCAAACUUACUCAUAACUGAAGAUGAAUCAAGUGCAGAGCUAGAUGACAGUUCCUUACCUGUCCUCGUAGUACCGGGCAAGACUUUAGUUCUUGGAUCUAUCGGAUUCCUCAUAGUGACCAGCAGACGUAAAUCCCAAGUGCUUCCCCGGCAACAGUGCGAGAAAAAGGUCUUGAUAACCCACAAGUAUAGGGGAUCACAACAAUUUUCGAGGGUAGCGUAUUCAACCCAAAUUUAUUGAUUCGACUCAAGGGGAAGCCAAAGAAUAUUCUCAAGUAUUAGCAGCUGAGUUGUCAAUUCAACCACACCUGAAAGAUUUAGUAUCUGCAGCAAAGUAUCAGUAGCAAACUAGGGUGAUAGCAGCAGUAGCAACAGUAACCAGUAGCAGCAAAGUGACAGCAGUAGCAACAGAGUAACAGUAGCAGCAAUGACAACAGUAGCGGCAAAGUAACGUAGCAAGGACCAGUAGUAAAAGACUCGUAGGCAUUGGAUCGGUGAUGGAUGAUUAUGCUGGAUGCUAUUGAUCAUGCAACAGUUAUAACACGGAAAGAUAUGUAACUAGCUUCAGUUCGUCAAUCUAAUGUAGGCAUGUAUUCCGUAUGUAGUCAUACGUGCUUAGGGAAAAGAACUUGCAUGACAUCUAUUGUCCAUCCCUCCCGUGGCAGCGGGGUCCUAAUGGAUACUACGGGAUAUUAAGGUUCUCCUUUUAAUAAAGAACCGGACCAACGCAUUAACACUUGGUGAAUACAUGAACUCCUCAUACUAUGGUCAUCUCUGGGAGUGGUUCCGACUAUUGUCAAUUCGGGGUUGCCGGGUCAUAACACAUAGUAGGUGACUACAACUUGCAAGAUAGGAUCAAGAACACACAUAUUUUGGCGAGAACAUAAUAGGUCCAGAUUUGAAAUCAUGGCACUCGGGCCCUAGUGACAAGCAUUAAGCAUGGCAAAGUAGUAGCAACAUCAAUCUCAGAACAUAGUGGAUAGUAGGGAUCAAUCCCCGUCAAAACUAACUCGAUUACAUGAUAGAUCUCAUACAACCCAUCACCGUCCAGCAACCCUACGAUGAGAUUACUCACGAACAGUGAAGAGCAUCAUGGAAUUGGCGAUGAAGGAAGGUUGGUGAUGACGAUGGCGACGAUCUCCCGUCUCCAGAGCCCAGAACGGACUCCAGAUUUGCCCUCCAGAUGAAGAACACGAGGUGGCGGCGCCUCCGUAUCGUAAAACGUGAUGAACUCUUCUCCUUGAUUUUUUUCCGAGCGAGACAGACUAAAUAUAGCUGAGAUUGGAGGCGGUGGAGUGUAGUGGGCUCCACAAGCCUGCCACGCGCGGCCAGGGGAGGCGCCUGGUGAGCUUGUGGGCUCACGGCUCCACUUCCUCCGCUGAUUCUUGCGCCAGUAUUUUUCAUAAAUUCCAGAAAAAUUCUCCGUAAAUUUUUAGGUCAUUCCGAGAACUUUUAUUUCUGCGCAAAAACAACACCAUGGCAAUUCUGUUGAAAACAGCGUUAGUCCAUGUUAGUUCCACAAACAAGGGCAAAAGAGUUCGAAAAAGUAGAUACGACGGAGACGUAUCAGCCUCCGACCAGCGGGCCCGGAGGAAGAGAAGGCGAGCGUGCGCGCGUCCGUCGUUUGUCCGCACCAACACAAAUCCGGCUCAAAAAUGGGCCGGGAAUGGGUCGUCCAUGGACGAAAACCGGACGCGCAUCCGUUUGUGUCGGCGCGUUGGGCCGCCUUAUGUGUCCGCGCCGACCCAAACGGACGGCGGCGGAUGAAAUGGGUCGCCCCAUUGGAGUUGCUCUUAAAUUGGACCAAACAAACACCAAAACAUUCAAACAGGAGGGUUAGAGUUGGUUAGAUGCAUCUAACCCACACAAAAAACUUACCCAUCCAAGAGAUGUUUAUUUGGGUUAGAGUUAGGUGGAGCCCAAAAAAAGUUACUUUUCCCUCUACCUACAUCAUAUCAAAUCAUAGUUAAAGGAGCCAAUUGAUUGCAAGAAGUGCAUUUAUUGACAAUCUAACCAUGCCAUCCAAGCACCUCUUUGGUUAGAGUUAGUUUAGGGUUAGUCGAGGGUUAGAAUCUAACUCUAACCUCUAACCCAGUUGGAGUAUCCAAACAUGGCCAUUGUUGGGUUACAUAUACAAAUGGUGUGAUAAACAUUUCCUUGGAUUGGUGAGGUUACCCGUAGUCAGUGUCGAAGAUGUCCUAAGCGGACAUAAGGUUAUUUUGGAUGACCGACUUUCACAUUUUAUGCGACUGGUCCUUAUUUGCGGACGGAUGUCGAAGAAAAUUUACAAAUUGAUGUGACGCUCUAAGACCAACUGUAACGCAAACCCCUAAAUCCUAAAUCAUUCGAGCAUGUUCGCUUUGACCCAAACGAACAUAUGAGGUGGCCUAACGCGCGACCGCAUCCGCAAAACACGUUUGUUUCUGUUCUGUCUAGACACAUCGUGGGCGCAUUUUUGUUCUCACUUUGCAUUCAAACGUACCGAGAAUGGACUAGCAUGCAUUCUCUCGUCGUCCGUGUCAAGCCCGCGUGGCUUCCGUCUAACUACUUCUCAUCGGCUCCAUUUAACCCACACACAUGGACAGGUCCGUCGAUCAGCCAUCCAGCCGCUCCCGACCGCAUCCCUUUUUAUGGCAAAGCCGUGUAUUGGUGUGGCCACUUUUAUUUUCCCACGUAUUUCCACUCGAGUACUCCCUCCGUGCUUGAUACCAAAACCUAGCGCCACCGCCCUACCUCGCUCCCCGCUAGCCCAUCACCAUGGGGUUUUGGAAGUGGCAUCCUCGCCAGAAGGGCCGCCAUGACCAGGAGACCAGCUCGUCGACCACCUCAUUUGGAAGCGCGGACAACCACCCCCCUCGCCAGCCACAUACUUUUUCUCUCCUCCAGCGACUCCACUCACUAGUGGAGAAAGGGGUAUUAGAACCGGUUGGUAAGGGCCUUUGGACCCGGAUACACAUCCGGUGCUACGUAUCCGGGACUAAAGCCCCCCCCCCUUUAGCACCGGUCUCUUACAAACCGGUGCUAAAGGCCUCCACGUGGGCGCCGAAGAGUGCGCGUAGGCGGAGGACCUUUAGAACCGGUUGGUAACACCAACCGGUCCUAAUGCUUUUUUUCCUUCUUUUUUUCUUUUCUUUUCAGGGUUUCCUAUUCCGUAUUUCGAUGUUUCCGUGUUCCGUAUUUUCAGGGUUUUCGUUUACGUGUUUCCGGUUCCGUAUUUCUGUUUACGUCUUUCCGAUUCCGUGUUUCCGAUUCCGUGUGUCCGUGUUUCGUUUUUUACGAACACGGAAUCGGAAACACGUAAUCGGAAACACGUAUCCGGAAACACCGAUUCCGUGUUUGCGGUUAAGUGUUUCCGAUUCCGUGUUUGCGGUUAAAUGUUGAUGCACCAAAUAAAAGUACAUAUAUACAUGUAACACGAAGUACUGGACCGAUUAUCAUUACAUAAUUUGAAGUUCGUUUCCUAUAGCUGUAUACUUGCAUAGAGAAGGGAGCUGGCUAUUGGUUCAUAGGAUGGAAAAAUUCUCCGCCUUCAUCUAUGACUUGCGUGAGGAGAAAUCCUGCCAAUUCCUCUGCAACUGUCUUGCAACGUUGGAUUGGUCUGAGCAUCGCCCGCUUUCGUUGCAACUUUAAAAGAAGUAGAUGAAAACAAUUAAGUUAUGAACAAAACUAAACAUAAUUGAUGGCAACAUAAAUAAAGUUGUGAAGAUCCGGUUACGUACCUCUAGAUUUCUGGAAGUACGGGAUUUCUCAUUGAUAAUCCUGUGAAUGUACUCGCAAACGUAGUAUCCACAAUAAUCAGUGCCCUGUGGUUGUUGCGGGACGCCCUAUAUACGAGAACAUAAUUCAGUCAAAUUAAUAAUAAUCAAGAGAAUGGUAAUGGUAUUGAAACCAGGGUACGUAGUACUACUUACUUUGUUAAUCUGAAAGUGGAGCUUGUGUGCCCAUGUACCGGGUGCUUCCUUGAUGAACAUUUGCCAAACCCUGGCCGACAAAGAAAAAUGAAUACAAGAGUUAAUUAUUACUUACUUGAUAUCAGGAAAUGAACGAAAAAGAGGCCGAUGAACGAAAGAGGCCGAUAUAUAUAUACCUUUGAAGCAUCUGACGCGCGCUCUUCCAUGUGUCAGCGUCCCAGGUUAACGGGUCCCAGACUUCAACUUGUCCUUGAUCGAUUCUAAUGAUGAACAAUAUGAAGUGGGACCUGCGCACGUGUACACACGCAGUCAUGCAUACUCAUCAAUUACACUUAACAUCAGGUAAGCAAAAUGGAAUGUGUACAAGACAGUAACACUCACUUGAAUCCGUAGGGCCAAAGUAUUUCUUUUUUGGUACUUUGUUGCUUCAAAAACCUUAGCAAAUCAUCCGGUGUAUCCUUGUUGAACUUUUCUAUUGUCUCUUGAUGAAACGAAUACGGGUCAAUGAACCCAAAGUCCCAGAUUCCUGCCAGCCUGCAUUCACGAAUCUUCAUUCUGCAUAGUAGCGUACAAAAAGAAUGUCUCGUGAGUGAUAAUUAUACGGGCAAUGAACGCGAGCUUAACUAAAUAAUUAAAUUACACAAAUAAAUCACUUACAAACAGUAGCAGCUGAUGAUAGCUUUGUCGAGGGCACGUUGAUUGUACAUCUGGAAAAAAUCAUCGAACCCAACCUCCACACCGUACUCUCCGAAGUAGUGUUGAUCCUGAACUGCCGCCAUGAUACAGUCUCUCUUUUGCCUUGCGGCCUCCAAGUACCAAACAUGUAAAUUCCAUAGUUGGGUUGUUAGAGCACUAGGAUUUUUGACCAGAGGGUGCUCGGGCUUAUAUUUAUAUACCACAUCAGCAAUAGCGUAACCUACGUCGCCCAUGCGUGGACCGGACACUGAAACUUGGUCAGAUAACACCUUGAGCGGGGCAAUUGACUGUGCUUCUUGUUGUCCGAGCUGGGGAACUUGUUUCCCGCAUUUCGUCUGCUCCGCCUGCUUCAUCUGCUCCGCCUGCUUCAUCUGUGCGGUGUGCAUCUUUUCAAUGAACCGUUCAUAGUCUGAAAGGGGCAGCGGUGGCGGCGGUUCAGGAUAAUAUAAGUUGUCGAUGGUGCGCUCAAUUUUCCACUUUGGUACGUUCUUCAGAGUUUCCUUCCAGAUGUCUGGAGGGGGCUUCAGGGGAAACCGUGCGAACCAUGCUUUGUUUUUGGCUUUCACGGCCUCGUCUAGUUCCUCCGGAGUCAUCAGGCCUGGUAACUUCGGGGGAGUCUUGACUUUAUUGGGUUUCCUUUCUCUCUUCUUGGGAGGAGUCCCGUUUCUUCUGAACUGCAGCUUCCGCUUUGCCGUACCCGUAGUGGGCGCAUCCGUCGGCUCACUGGAGUGCACGGGCGAUGGACUCUCGGCCUCGGGCUCCCUAUCUUCGUUGUGGGGUGGACUUGGAGGUGCAUUGGGGGGUGGACUUGGAGGUCGUGCAUUCUCUGUACGAAAGUGAAAAAACUAUUAAAAAUAGGCUUACAUGUGGUGCAACAUUCAGUAAUUGUUGGAGGUGGUGCAUUUGUACCUGGAGGAGUCGGUGGCCUUGGCGCCGCGUUAGGAAACACGAUGUGUUUCUUCUUCCACAAGAUGAUACCAAGCUCCAUUUCUCCCAGUGUCUUCUCGCCUUCACCUCCAGGAAUAUCAAGCUCAAUUGACUGGCAUCCCGGCGUAAUUGUUGACAACCCGACACGAGCAUGGGAUGCUGGAAUCUGACCACCAUGGUAGGUUGCUCCAGGUUGAUUCGGUAAAGCAUAGCCUGACGCCACCAUGAAGGAUAUGUUCCCCAUUGGCAUAUGUAUCUCACAGUUUGUCUUCUCCGUGACAUCAUCCACGGGGUAGUGAGGCGCCGACGUCUCGACUGCAGGACCGUCUUCUAGCUGCAGCUGCGUGGAACCCAUGCUGCUUCUAUGCUGAGAUGGGACGGCAUCUGCUACAGGAUCGUCUUCUAAUUGCUGCUGAUCAGCGUCAGGUGCAGGAUCUUCUUCCUCCUCUUCAGUGUCAGGUACAGGGUGCCCCCCUUUCUUCAAGAGAAACGCCACCUUUUCUUCUAAUGUCGAUAUCCGUUCCAGCGCCUUCCUCUUGCUUCUACCACGGCUUCUGUAAGUGCCAAGGUCCGCCGGAAACCCUUGGUUCCACGGGGUAGUGGCUCCAAAGCCUCGUGUUCGUCCCCACUUUUCGGGGUUCCCGAGUGCCUUCGUCAACUCGUCGUUCUCUCUAUCGGGAACAAAAGUUCCUUUUCGAACAACUUCUAUUGCCUUCUCUAGAUCUGAUACGACUUGUGUUAUUUUUCCGAUCAUGGUCCCUCCGCAACAAUCUUCCCAGUCUCAGCGUCCAACGUUGCCCCAUGCGCGAACAACCAGAACUUGAACCUAUCGGGCCAGUCAUGUGUCUGUGGAAUGAUAUUUCUUUUCAGAAGCGCAUCUUCAUAGCGUCGCCACCUAGGCAGGGCAGUCAUGUAGCCACCUGACCCCAAAAUAUGGUGAUAUUUCUUCUUCUUCGCAUUCUCCGUAUUUGUGGCUGAUCGGGAUGUAAAGACACCCGAUUUCUUGUACGCCUUAAAAUCAGGCCAAGCGUCUCUUAUCUUCACUAGGUGCCCAGUGAAAACUGGAUCUUCGUCCUUAUAUUUCUUCCACAAGUCUUUCUUCCACGUCUGGAAUUGUGUGGUCAUCUUCUUCAAAGCCCACUCCUCGACUUUAUUCUUCUUAUCUUCCGCUACGCUGAAAUUUAGCCAGACCGUGUCGCAAAGCACUCUUUUCAAUCUGUCAUCGACAUAAGUAGCUCCAACGUUGGCGCCGGUCUUCGGCUUAUUCCAUUCUAUUAAGUUGAUCGGGACAAGGUCUCUUACAACAACUCCGCACUGAUUUACAAAUUUGCGAUAAGUUUCUGGGGGUUCCAGUGGUUUGCCAUCAGCAGCAACUUUAUCGAUCGAGUACCUUGCAGUAUCUUUCAACCUUGCGGCCGGGCCUCGUUUCGACUUUGUCUCGGUACUUGCGCUAGCUGUUCCGGAGGGCGCCUAAACGGGAAAAUAAUGAUUCGUUAGUAAGUGCAAUACAAAUUAAUUGUUGCGUCAACAGUGACUUGAGAUAUACAUUGGCAGAGUUUGUUCCGGAGGGCACUUCUGCAUCUACUACAUCUUCUAUAUUCUCAGCUCCGUCACCGGAGUCGUUCAAAAAUUGAUUGCUAAACGCAUGUCCACCGUCGUCAUCAUGAUAUAUGGCCGUUGCAUCUUCAAAAAUCAUCUGGCACAUGUAUCUUUCCUUCUCCGCCUCACCCAUUCCCGCGAGCUGAUCGGCGUGCUGAUCAUGUGGUUCUUGGGGAUCCAUAGCUCAACACCUGCUAGUAACAAGAAUUUAACUUAGCAAAAUUAUUUACGGAAAAGUUUUACGGAACCGGAAAGUUUACGGAAAAGUUUUACGGAAUCGUCGGAGUCGUAAUCGUCGGAAAGUUUUACGGAAUCGUCGGAAACUUUCCCCGCAGUUAUGGAAUCAUCGGAAAGUUUUACGGAAUCGUAAUCGUCGGAAAGUUUUACGGAAUCGUCGGAAUCGUCGGUUUAGGGUUUUACAGAAUCGUCGGAAUCGUCGGAAUCGUCGGAGUCGUAAUGACGAAAGGGUCCCUUGGCCAACACAGUUAUAUUGUGUGACACAGAUUUCUUCACCGCAGUUCUCGCACAAAUGCUCGGGUGUUUUUUUUUAAAAACGUCACCUCAUUUAUACAAUCAUAGGACUUUGCGAUCUCCAUCGAUAAAACGGUAAGAAUAAAGUCUAAGGGUAAAAAUAGGAACUACAACAAUAUGGAUAUACAACAAUAUGAUAAGGCUCUAAAAUAGGAUAUACAACAAUAUGGAUAUAUGAUAUACAACAAUAUGGAUAUACGAAUAUAGGAUAUAUGAUACAACAAUAUGGAUAUAUGAUAUAUGAAAAAUAUGAUACAACAAUAUGAUAUACAACAAUAUGGAUAUACAAAAAUAGGAUAUACGAAAAUAGGAACUACAACAAAUAUGGAUAUACCGUGGGAGAAGAAGAUGAAGUGGGGCGGCGAGGAGGCGGCGUGGGGCGGCGAGGAGGCGGCGAGGAGGCGACGGCGGCGAGGAGGCGUCGCAAGGAGGCCGCGAGGAGGCGGCGCGCGAGGAGGCGGCGAGGAGGCAGCGAGGAGGCGUCGCGAGGANNNNNNNNNNNNNNNNNNNNNNNNNNNNNNNNNNNNNNNNNNNNNNNNNNNNNNNNNNNNNNNNNNNNNNNNNNNNNNNNNNNNNNNNNNNNNNNNNNNNNNNNNNNNNNNNNNNNNNNNNNNNNNNNNNNNNNNNNNNNNNNNNNNNNNNNNNNNNNNNNNNNNNNNNNNNNNNNNNNNNNNNNNNNNNNNNNNNNNNNNNNNNNNNNNNNNNNNNNNNNNNNNNNNNNNNNNNNNNNNNNNNNNNNNNNNNNNNNNNNNNNNNNNNNNNNNNNNNNNNNNNNNNNNNNNNNNNNNNNNNNNNNNNNNNNNNNNNNNNNNNNNNNNNNNNNNNNNNNNNNNNNNNNNNNNNNNNNNNNNNNNNNNNNNNNNNNNNNNNNNNNNNNNNNNNNNNNNNNNNNNNNNNNNGCGAGGAGGCGUCGCGAGGAGGCCGCGCGCGAGGAGGCGGCGCACGAGGAGGCGGAGAGGAGGCGUCGCGAGGAGGCGGCGAGGAGGCGACGGCGGCGAGGAGGCGACGGCGAGGAGGCGGCGAGGAGGUCGAGUCGGCGAGGAGAGAAGGCGAGGAGAGAGGCGGCGAGGAGAGAAGACACGCGGGAAGAUGAGAAGAUGGCGGCACCGGAGAGGUCUAGAGCCUUUAGCACCGGUUUUUAAUACAAACCGGUGCUAAAGGUCCAAAAAUUGGGAGCGAAGCGAACCCACCUUUAGGACCGGUUGUUGUUACAAACCGGUCCUAAAGGUUUUUUCCUUUAUCUUUUUUCCUUUUUUCUGUUUCCUGUUUUCUUUUUCUUUUUGUUUCCUUUUUCUUUUUUCUGUUUCUUCUUUUAUUUUUCUUUUUUGUUUCCCUUUUCUGUUUUCUUUUACAUUUAUUUAUAAAAUCGAAGUAGACUCAAAAAGCUUUUGUAAAAUCAAAUAUUUAUAAAAACAUAUUUAUAUUUUCUGAUAUUUUGUGUAAAAAUUGUCUAAAUGUCAUUUAAAACAAUAAAAAAAUAAAAAAUAAGAUAUUUAUCAAACUAAUUUGAAAAUAUAAAGAUAUUUUUUGUUUUCUUUUUCUUUUUCCUGUUUCUUCUUUUAUUUUUCUUUUUUGUUUCUCUUUUCUGUUUUCUUCUACAUUUAUUUACAAAUUGUCUAAAUGUCAUUUUAACACUUAAAAAAUAAAAAUGAUAUUUAUCAAAAUGGUCAAAUUUAGUGGAAACUGGUCAAAUUUUUGAUAUUUAUCAAAAUGGUCAACACAAUUACAUAAAAGGUUUAAUACAUUAUUACACAUCACCAACAACACCCCCUAUCUAUUUUUCUUCUUGCCUUUCUUCUGAUUGCACCGUAAUCAUGGAGUAUCUUCAUCAUUUAACGGGAUGCUUGGAUCAUCUUUGACUUUGAAGGGAGGAAUUUCAUCAAAUUUAUUGUAAUCUUCUGACAUGUCUGUCUUGUCCUCGACUCCCACGAUAUUUCUUUUCCCUGAAAGAACUAUGUGGCGCCUUGGCUCAUCGUCUGAUGUAUUCGCUUCCUUAUCUUUUCUUUUUCUCGGUCUGCUAGACAUGUCCUUUACAUAGAAAACCUGAGCCACAUCAUUGGCUAGGACGAAUUGAUCAUUGCCGUACCCAAGAUUCUUCUGAUCCACUCUUGUCAUUCCGUACUUCGGGUCUACCUUCACGCCUGACAGGUUGAACCAUUUGCACCAGAACAAAGGGACCUUAAAGGAAGGUCCGUAGUCAAGUUCCCAUAUCUGCUCUAUGUAACCAUAGUAUGUGACCCUUUGCCCGUUGUCGUCUUUUGCAUCAAACCGGACGCCACUGUUUUGGUUGGUGCUCUUUUUAUCUUGGUCUGUCGUGUAAAAUGUGUUACCAUUUAUCUCGUACCCUUUAAAGGUCAAUACAGUCGAAGAUGGUUGCUUGGCCAACAAGUAUAGCUCAUCUUCAACAAUGUUGUCAUUAAUGAGACGUCUUUCCAACCAACCGCCGAAAGUCUUCGCGUGUUCUUUAGCAAUGAAAUCUUCAGGUUGCUCCGGGUAUUCCGAGCGUAAAAUAUCCUUGUGUUCCUGGAUAUAUGGAGCCGCCAAGCUGGAAUUAACUAGAACUGUGUAGUGUGCUUGAGUGAAAGAUUGCUCGUCCAUACAUGUUGUUGAUUUCUUUCCUAGCGUUCCUUUUCCACGCAGUCUCCCCUCAUGGCGCGACUGAGGAACACCGAUCGGGUUGAGGUCAGGAAUAAAGUCAACACAAAACUCAAUGACCUCCUCUGUUCCAUAGCCCUUGACCAUGCUUCCUUCUGGCCUAGCACGGUUUUUAACAUAAUUCUUCAAGACUCCCAUGAACCUUUCAAAGGGGAACAUAUUGUGUAAGAAUACAGGACCGAGAACGGAAAUCUCUUGGACUAGGUGAACUAUGAGGUGCGUCAUAAUAUUGAAGAAGGUUGGUGGGAACACCAACUCGAAGCUGACAAGACAUUGGACCACGUCCUUCUGUAAACUUGGUAGAGUUGCUGGAUCAAUUGCCUUCUGAGAAAUUGCGUUGAGGAAUGCACAUAGCUUCACAAUGGGUACUCGCACGUUUUCUGGCAGAAGCCCCCUCAAUGCAAUCGGAAGUAACUGGGUCAUGAUCACGUGGCAGUCAUGAGACUUUAGGUUUUGGAACUUUUUCUCUUCCAGGUUUAGUAUUCCUUUUAUGUUCGACGAGUAGCCAGACGGGACCUUGAUACUGCUCAGGACUUGGAAAAAGAUCUCCUUCUCUUCCUUGCUAAGAGCGUAGCUGGCAGGACCUUUGAAAUUCUCUGGAUUCAUCAGGUCGUCUCGUUCGUGCAUACGUUGGUGGUGCAGCCAUGCUUUUGGUGUAUCUCUCGACUUCUUCCCAUGCAUGCCCAAUAAGUUUAGCAGGUUCACGCAAAUAUUUUUCGUCACGUGCAUCACGUCGAUCGCAGAGCGAACCUCUAGGAAUUUCCAAUAGGGUAGUUUCCAGAAUAUAGAUUUCUUCUUCCACAUGGCUACGUGGUUGUCGGCGUCAUUCGGAACAGAUUGUGCGCCAGGACCCUUACCAAAGAUUACUUUUAUAUCUUUGACCAUGUCAUAUAUAUCAGUACCUUUAGGGAGGGUUGGCUUCCUCCGUGUAUCUGCCUCGCCUUUGAAAUGCUUUCCUUUCUUUCUUACGGGAUGCCUGUCUGGAAGAAAUCGACGAUGCCCGGGGUACACAUUCUUGCCUAUAUGUAUACUUUCAGUCUCGCCUAAACAGUGUGUGCAUGCGCUGUAUCCCUUGUUUGACUGUCCUGAGAUGUUACUAAGAGCGGGCCAAUCAUUGAUGGUUACAAACAGCAACCCUCGUAGGUCAAAUUCCUCCUGUUUGUACUCGUCCCACACACGUACACCUUCGUCAGCCCACAACUCUAAAAGUUCAUCAACCAGUGGCCUCAAGUACACAUCAAUGUUGUUGUCGGGUUGCGACGGGCCUGGGAUAAGCACUGGCAUCAUAAUAAACUUAUGCUUCAUGCAUAACCAAGGAGGAAGGUUAUAGAUACAUAGAGUCACGGGCCAGGUGCUAUGACUGCUACUCUGCUCCCCAAACGGAUUCAGGUCAUCUGUACUUAGACCAAACCUUAAGUUUCUUGGGUCACGUGCAAAGUCCUCAUACUUAUCGUCGAUGUUUCUCCACUCCGACCCAUCAGCGGGUUGUCUCAGCAUAUCGUCUUCCUUACGUUCUUCUUUGUGCCAUCGCAGCAACUUGGCAUGCUCUUUGUUUCGGAACAAACGUUUCAACCGUGGUAUUAUAGGAGCAUGCCACAUCACCUUGGCAGGAACCCUCUUCCUGGGGCGAUCGUCGCCCUCAACAUCACCAGGGUCAUCUCGCAUGAUCUUAUACCGAAAUGCACCGCAUACCGGGCAGGCAUUUAAAUUCUCGUGCUGACCGCGGUAGAGGAUGCAGUCAUUGAUGCAUGCAUGUGUCUUAUGCACUUCCAAUCCUAGAGGGCAGACAACCUUCUUUGCUUCGUACGUACUGCAGGGCAGCACGUUAUCUCUUGGAAGCAUCUUCUUCAUUAUUUUCAGCAGCUUUUCAAAUCCCUUGUUAGAUAUUCCAUUCUCUGCCUUCCCUUGCAGCAAUUCCAGGGUGGUGCCCAGCUUUUUCUGACCAUCUUCGCAAUUUGGGUACAACAAUUUUUUGUGAUCUUCUAACAUGCGCUCCAACUUCAACCUCUCGUUUUCACUUCCGCAGUUUAUCUGUUCUUCACGAAUGACCUGACGAAGAUCAUCAUCAGACUCAUCAACAAUGUCCUCAAGUUCAGGCUCGUCUUCCCCCAUUUCAGUAUCACCGUGUUCACCGAACAUAGGAUAGUUAUCAUUAUCCUCUUCUUCUUUAUUGUCUUCCAUUACAACCCCUCUUUCUGCGUGCUUGGUCCAACAAAAAUAACUGGGCAUGAAGCCUUCUUGCAACAGGUGGGUGUGUAUGGUUCUUGAGUUAGGGAAAUUCCUCUUAUUCUGGCAUUUUUUACAUGGACAAAAAAUAAAUUCAUUCUGCCUGUUUUUCUCAGCCAUAUUGAGAAAACUAUGCAUGCCAUUAAGGAAUUCGGGACGACGUCGAUCACUGUACAUCCAUUGCCGGUUCAUCUGCAUUAUAUAAAUUUAUCAAAAACCAUUAUGCUAAAUCAUCAUGACUAAAUUAAUUAAUUAAUACAAAAAGUUCAUCACACGUUAAAACCAAAGUAGCGUAGUGACCAUACAUAUAUAGUUCUCAUAAAAAUACACACUGAAACCAACCAUAAAAACUCUCUCUAAUUAAUGCAUUUAAAAACAACAACAAAUGCGAUCAAAAUCGCAACAAAGGUAACAAUUGACCCGACGGCAUAAUGAUACCAAGCCUCUUUACUAAUUGCAUAUUUUCUAAUCUUUCUAAUCUUCAGGCGCAUUGCGUCCAUCUCGCUCUUGUGACCAUCGACGACAUCGGCAAGAACCUUUUCCAAGGUCAUCUUCUCUCUUUCAGUUUUUUCCAACAUUUCUUUAGUUUUUUUCAAUCUUUCUUUCAGGCCAACAUUUUCUUGUUCAAUUAAGUGUAACUUCUCAACAAUAGGGUCGAUUGGCAUGUCCGGUUCCACUACCUCCUAGAUAAAAAUAUCUAUGUCAAGUUGGUCGGCGUAAUUAAUUGUCAUAUAAUCAGGAAAUGAAAAUAUGUAGUUAUAAAAGAUAAUAUACCACAUCCGAAUCAUAGACUGAACGAGGGCCAACGGGGACGGAUAUCAAAACCAUGGGGCUAUACAUAUAAAAAAAAUCUUACACAAUAAGAAAAUUAUAUACAAGUAAAUAUGUAAAUCAUACAAAUCAAAAUUUGUUUUGGUAAAUAAAAACAAUAGGCUCACCAAGGUUGUGUCGGUGACGGGGCGAUCGACGGCGGUGAGGAAGGGGACAAGGCGCGCGACACUAAAAAAAACCACAAAUCAUAAUUAAAUUUGAGCUCAAAUUGCAUAUGUAUACAUAACAAAUGAUGAACUCUCUCUAGCUUAGGCAUUUCAUCAAACACCUAGCUAGCACAACAAAAAUGAAAUGAGCAAGGAGACGAGCAAAACUUGCAAUGCCGGAAGAGGGAAUAUUGAUGCUAACCGUAGGACCGAUGGGUGCCAACAAUCUUGACAAAUGGUGGAGAAAAAUGGGGAUGGAUUAGAGCUCCCAAGAGGAAGGAGAGAGCAAAAAUGGAGUUGAGCUCGAGCUGGAAAAAAUGGAGCUGAGCUCGGGGUGGAAUAUAGGGGUGCUCGGGGAGGAAGGAGAGGAGGGCUUUAGGAUCGGUUUGUGUUAAAAACCGGUGCUAAAGGGUCUGACAGCGGGGCCCCGCAGUUGCUGCAAAAAUGAGAAAACCUUUAGCACCGGUUUGUGAUACAAACCGGUUCUAAAGGGUCUGUCCACUGGGCCCCCCUCCCUGCAGCAAACGGUCCAAAAACCUUUAGGACCGGUUUGUGUUAGAAACCGGUUCUAAAGGCCUUGCGGCCAUUUGCUGCACUGAGGGGGCCCAGCGGACAGACCCUUUAGAACCGGUUUAUAUCCAAUCCGGGUCCAAUGUGGUUGGCUCAAUGCCCUGUUUUCUACUAGUGAGUGCGCGACCAGUCCUACGUGAAGGUGGACAUUUGCGCCAGUACUGGGAGACCGGUACACCCGCUUGUCGGUGUCAAACCCGGUUGAUCUCGAGUAGGGGGUCCGAACUGUGGAUCUUGAAUCGCUGGGUAAGAAGGGACCAAGAAGACGAUGUUUACCCAUGUUCGUGCCCUUUUGAUGGAUGUAAAACCCUACGUCUUGCUCUUGUUUAUAUUAAUGAUGAAGUAUCGAGUACAGAGUCGAUCUACCUCGAGAUCGUUUGUUAUGGUCUAAACCCUAAUGAUAAUGAUGUAUACGUUGUGUCUAAUGAAUAUGAAUAUGAGAAUGUCUAUCGACUAGCCUCGCCUCGUUUUAUAGAAUGCACCAUAGGCCUAGGAUAACAAGAGUCCUAGUCGUCUACUUCGGUGUAGAGGAGUCCUUGUCUUGAUCACCAAGUCUUGUGGAAUCUUCCUCGUAUAUGUCAUCGGCUGCCCGAAUUGGCCCACGAGUCCGGCCCAUAUAUAUAGGUCGGCAGCCCGAGGACCCCUUAGUCCCGGACUCCCUCGGUAGCCCCCGAACUGGUCACCAAUGUCGUAGUCUUGAUCCUUAGCAUCUCCAUGCAUCCAAAGUCUUCGGCUUGCGGGGCGAGUUCUUCUUCCCAUUUAUGUUCGGCCAACACCAUUUCGGUCGCCGAUGACUUUCCGAUUUCCGAGCGUAGGUCUUCAAGUUGGGGAUGCUCCUCUGUUCUUCCGAACUGUUCUUCAUAUUCGGUCGCCGGUCUUGAAAACUGGCUCAACAAAUCUUCCCAUGACUGAUCAUGAGGAUCGCCGAGGUGUAUCCGAAGAGUUCACACGUCGGGCAUCGGGGGAGCCCCUUUAAGUUAUCGGCCUAUAUUAAUGCCUUCUAAUUUUUCACGCCACACCUCAGGUUUGAAAUGUUUCCCGUGUGGCGAUAUCCUCUUGCGUCUGAGCUCCAAUGCUGAACUACAUCCGACAUAUACUCUUGCGUCCGAGCUCCAACGUCUGACUGCAUUUGAGGUGCCUUUUGUAGUCGAGCUCCAACGCUGGCCGGCAUCCAAGGUGUCAUAGAUUUCCUUGGUCUGUGAAAAUAUGAAGGAAUUCAUCCUUAGCUUGAAUGCCAUAAUAGUCUUUUAUGUAGGCACCCGUUCGCAUCCGAACUAUAUGCCUCACUGCUUCUGAGGUGGUGCACCACCUCGCUCUCGGGCUGCUUUUCUCGGAAUUUAUUUCCGAUUGGUGUAAUUUAUUUACUAUCGAGAUGUAUAGCCAGUAGCCCUCAAGGUGUAUGUCGGUCUAAAGCCCAAUAUGCACAUGAAGGAUAAAAGUAAAACCGCUGAUCCUAGUAGCCCCCGAGACUCAGGUCGAUUCGUGUAAUCGGCCUGAGAAUCUAUUCCUUACUUGGCAACAUACUUUAGGAAUGAAAACACGGUGUGUAGUAGCCCCCAAGACUGAGGUUAGGUGUGGCCGACCGACGUGAGGAUCGUAAUCUCCUCGAAAAUUGUUUGGCAUUUGUUGUGUUAGUUUUGACAACGCCAAGGUGCAAGUCGGUAGGAAAUAUGUCGAACUACGCGUCAGAAAAGAUUUUUAGGUUAGUGUAAUUUAUUCUGUGACGAGCUAUAUAAAUAGUAGCCCCCAAGACUUGGGUUGGGUGACAUGGCCAACCCUAGGAUCGUAUCUUCUCGGAGACUAUUUCAUCCAUUAAGUGUGUUUUGACAACAACGAGGUGGAGCUCGGCGGGGGAGAUGCUGAACUGUAGGUUGGAAAAAAAAUCUUGGAGAAGAAUCGCAAUGCAGAACAUCUCGAACAUAAGGAUGUCCCGCCACCUGAAAGAAAGAACAUGUAAAUAGGUUAAAGGUGCCAUAAGCUCGGCAAUACCAAAAAACUUUAGCAAAAACAUUACCUUCCGAACUAAAUCAAGUUUCUUUUCACGUGUGUCGUUGGCUUCGAGACUCGCGUUGGGUGCGGCAGACCGACAUGAGGAUUGAAUCUCCUUGGAAACCGUAUUUCACUUUGAAUUUGUUGCAUUGAAUAAGCAAUGAAGUAGCCCCCAGCCUUAAUUUGGGCAUGGGUGGUCGAAUUAAGGAUCAAUAUUUGUUUGACACAAAUUUUGUUAUGUUUGACGCAAUUUAAGUGUAAUGAUUCUAUGUAUCCAAGUACUAUACGUUAGUAAUGCUCAGAUCCGCAUUAAUAUAACACUUUGUUGACCGACCAUCGGCUUCAACUUCCUUGACCAGUAGUCGAGGAGUGCUUGUGCUACUUUAUAAAGCUUUAUAAGGGCAAAGAUUUAUGACAAACAAGGCAAUCUGGUCAUACUAUUUUGUAGACAAAGGUACGCAGAGAGAUUACUUAUUUAAAGUAAAAAACAUCUUCUCAGAAAAAUAGUUCAUUUAUAAGUUUCUUUUCCCAGGAUACCAUAUUUGACCAUGAUCUGGAAACCUCAACUCCGAGCAAUGUGAGAGGAAAAUAUUGAGGAUUUAGUUUGGGGGAUGUUUCCAAACUAUGUGGUCUUUAAUGAACCGAAAUUUUCACUUCUGUCGUUGCCGACCAAUUAUAUUCUUAAGAUGGCUAGCUUUCGGCUUCACCUAGUCUGAGGUACUAACUCGGAUAAUCCGGGCGUAACAAUCACAUAGGUGAUCCCUUUACCCCCUAGCCGAACAAUCGGGAACGUAGGGGGUAAGCACGGGAGCCAGGCAUCCGAGCUUGGCCAAAAUCUUAAGUCAAAUUGAUGCAUAUUUAUGGCUUUAUAACGAUGAUUACGGAACGCAACACUCGCAUUUUGAAUGCAAAUGCUUUUAUGAUAUUUCGACUCCAUUGCGACUGUUUAUAAUCUCGAAGUGGCCCACCGUUGGCUUCCACCCCUUUGUAGAUACUACGCAGGGUGUUUCCGUACUAACAAGACAAUCCUUAGUCGACAUCUCGGUGCCCGGAAGUGGUUGUGUUUAGUGGAAACGAAGCAAUGAGAUAUUCUUGCUUUGUACCUUUCACUUAGUCAUAGGAGCUUUUAAGUAGGGAGGCAAGUUACUAGUCCCCGGUUAGUGUUCGACGUCAGCUGAGGUUAAGCCAUUAACACUUUUUGCCAAUUUUAUGUACGUCCCAUGGGUAACCUCUAUCGGUCUAUAGUUUGAUAGAGUCAUCGGGUCACUGAUCAGCUUGCGCUCAUUAUGACAGUCAGUUUUCGGCUUUCUCGAGUAAUGUACUCAACGAGUCAAAUUGGAAGUACAAUCGUAGUGGAUCUCCCUUUGCACACCUAGCCGAACAAAGGGCAAUAUAGGAGGCAAUCACACGAGCUGGGCAACCCAACCAUUGACAGAAGACGCAAUUUUAAACUAAUGCAUAUAAAGCAAUAUCUCAAAAAAUGAGGUGGAGGUCGGCACGGAAGAUGCUGAACUGUGGGUCGAUAAAUACUUUCCUAGCUGAAUUGUUACUUAGGGCACCUUGCUGAAGAGGAUGUCCUUCCUCCUAAAAGAUACAAGAGGUUAAAAUUUUCAUAAGCUCACAAAAACAAAAAUUUAUGUACCGACUUUACGUCUUAAUUAAAUCAAAUGUUUUGGUGCGAAUCCAAAAUUGAUCUUUAAAAUUAAUAUGUACCUCGGUCGUGCUUUAACAUGAUACAUCCGAUCUCCAUACAUUAAGUGGGUGAACCUUUGGGUUCAACCUCCAUAUCCCGAAGGCGGAGUGGUUCUCCGAGGCCUGUUUAGCAAACUAAACUCGAGCGGCUUUAGAAAGAAACCAGGCUAUCCAGCUAUUGACCACAGACUAGUGUCGGAAAAAGGAGUGCUAGAAAAAUGUUGGGGAACGUUGCAUGGGAAACAAAAAAAAAUCCUACAUUGUCGAGUUGGUUGUCGUUGGUUUGAUAGAGCGGCGGCGCACUCGAUGCCGGCACAGCUCGAAAGCCGUGGAACAACAUUGUCGGACCGGUUUGACACCGACACGAUGGUGAAGAUUGCCUUGCAAAAGGCACGAAAUUUAUGGGCAUGUGUUUUAGAAUAACACAUCAUGCCUUAAAAAAUGUUUUCAAAAAGAUGUCCAAAACCCCGUUCAUGAAGAAAGAUGAACUCGGAUCGGGUUCGUUUUCGCGAAGAAAACAGAUCCAAAUUUCGAUGUAUUAAUCGGUUGUUUACCGGAGUUUGGACGGUCAGAUCGAGCUGAAAUGUAGAGGAGUGGUCGACAUAGGAAUUCCGUACCGUUGAACGGUGGGGAUUUUCAAUGGAUAUCCGAGCUGAAUACUGGACCCCUCGCCCUAAACUUAUCGAGAUUCCCAUCGAGAUUUUACACGGCUCCGGUAUACCGGAGAUCGCCAGAGAUUCCUUCAUCGGAACACAACAAAAUUUUGCAGGGUUGUUGUAGAUACAUUUCUGCACAAUUCUACCGAAGCAAUCAUCAAAGGGAUGCUCGAGGAAACGGGGACGAUGAACACAAAUUCGUUGUCCAUAAAAAACUAUAAUCAAUCUACACACGAAUCAUCAUUCCUUUUGCCAAUUAGACAACGGAACUCACAAUAAAUGCAGCAAUAUUGGUGUAAAAACCGGCUGAUCUCGAGUAGGGGGUCUGAACUAUGGAUCUUGGAUCGAUGGGUAAAAAGGGACGAAGAAGACGAUGUUUACCCAAAUUCGGACCCUCUUGAUGGAGGUAAAACCCGACGUAUCUUUUUUAUAUUGAUGAUGAAGUAUCGAGUAUGGAGUUGAUCUACCUCGAGAUCGUAUGUUAUGGUCUAAACCCUAAUGAUAAUGAUGUAGACGUUGUGUCUAAUGAAUAUGAAUAUGAGAUUGUCUAUCGACUAGCCUGACCUCGGUUUAUAUAUUGUAUCAUAGGCCCAGGAUAACAAUAGUCCUAGUCGGAUACGUCAGUGUAGAGGUGUCCUUGUCUUGAUCACCAAGUCUUAUGAAAUCUUCCUCGUAUAUGUCAUCGGUUGCCGGAAGUGGCCCAGUAGUCCGGCCCGUAGAUAUAGGUCGGCGGCCCGAGGACCCCUUAGUCGCGGACUCCCUGACCGUUGCAGUGGUCCGAUGCCCACCUCCCCAAUGGGUGAAAUCUGAGCCCGGAUAGGACGUCGAUCCCCCGCCCCAGCAAGCGGCCAUGCCCGCCUCGAGGAGAUACCACGACGAUGCCCCCGCAUCCCGCGUGAGUACCUUGCGGACCAGCGGUACGCCGUCGACACGUCGCUCUCGGCACUUUGUUCCAAGACGAGCACAACAUGCACCAGCAAACAUGCUUUGCCGGCUGUGCUCAUAGCUCGCCCCAUUCGACACGUUGUUGCGCGCCAAGCCCAUCCAGAGUGCGCAGCAGGACUGGCGUGCGCAGCCUGGCACGAGUUCCCUCUUCCUUCCUAUCGCCACUACCGUCGCUAGCUCCCACCAUGAUGGCCAAGGAGGAGGAUCGGCUGAUCCGGUUCGUCAUGGAGGACUGCGAGUGGAAGUACAAACGUGCCCAAGAGGAGCAGUGGGAGGGGCUCAAGCAUAUGCUCGCGCUCUCGGCUGCCAAGGAUGUCUACUUGUCGGAGCUCGACGUCAAGUUGAAGGAUGAGGUGAUGGAGGAGGCCACGAGGGACCGACCGCCCACCCCUACAUGCCCCCUACCAUGUACGAGCAGUCAUGGUCCUGGGCGACCACAGUGCCAUGUAAACCUGGGCAUUCCUCCGACCGGGCUUGUAAAAGCCUGACGGGCAAAGUUUGGGCCCGUCCUGGCGUCUCGAGCGAAAAACCAAAAAACUAGGCCCGAGCCAGGCCAAAAGGGACUAAAAAAGGAGUUUCGGGCCAGGCCGGGCUGGGUCAUGCCCCAUAUAAACUAUAUAAUUUCCAAAGGCCGAGCCUGACCCGAAGUACAAGUCGGGCCAAAAGUUCAAGCCCUAGACCAGCCCAAACAUAGAGCCCGACCAGGCCCGGGUUUUUGAGGCAGGGUCGUUGGGUCUGGCUGCCCAUGCCAGGUCUAGUGCGUGUAGCCCGCUGUCGUCAUCGUCACCACCGCAGUCGGCGAGAGCCAUGGUCAUCAACCACCACCACCAUCACCCAGCAUGCACAACACGUGACCCUUUUUGGGCCCGCCUCUGGACGCCGCCUUCGUACAUCGACAUUACCAAGGACAACAAUGAGGACGGUGACGCAUGAAGAUAACGACGGCUUCAACGGCCACAACAUCAGCGUGCGGGCGACAGAUCUAUCUUUUUUUUUGUUAACUUCAACUAGUAAUAUUUGUGGACCAUGACUAUCGGCGACAACCCUAUAUGUUUUCAGAAACAUAGUCUCUGUUGUAUAAACAUGUUCGACAAAACAUAGUGUGUGUGACAUUAUUUUGAUGUGUGUCACGCAAAGAAGGUGGCAGACGCGUUCGCUAAGAUCCGUCGGAGGAUUUUCCUUUUAGUUAUUUUGCAAUGUCUUUUUUGUGUUUCUGAAAUUACAAAUGAUUUUCUAUUUGAUCAAACACAGACGAUUUGAGAUAGGGCUGCGCGUCCGAAGUUCCGAUAGGGCGGACGGUCCAAACCGGACAAAGCCCUCCAUUUUGCCGGUCCUUGGUCGAAAGUCUCUGCCGUUUCUAGCCGAGCUGAUUUGACGUGAGACAGACCGGAGCCCGAAAGCGGCAGCGGUGCCCAAGCCCAACCCUUCCGAUUGGACGUGUCGGGGCCUCGAUCCGUGCGUGCGCCAAGCCAACGGAUCCGCGGUCCUUCUCUUCUCCCUCCCUCCAGCUAACAAGGUGCGUCGUCUUCCCCGCUAUAUAUAAAUCCGGCCAAACCAUUUUGUUCAGUCACCGGCCGCUAGUUACACUUGUUUAGUCGUUGAACCGAGAGUAGGAGCUCUUUCACUAUUCAUCCCACUGUAGUGGUUCUACUCUCAAGUGCAAGCACGUACGAGCUCGUAUAUAAACCUCCGGCACCUUUGAGCCCGGACCCCGAUGGCUGGCACCGAAGGGACGUCGCUGGCCCAGCUGAUCGAGCGCGCGCCCGAGCUCGCUCUGCUGCCGCACACGCUGGAGCCGGCGCAGGGGCCGAGUCCCGCGAGCGCGCGGAAGAGGCCGCGGGGCCGGCCGCUGGGAUCGAGGAACAAGCCGAGGCCGCCGGUGGUGCUGGUGCGGGAGAGCGCGGCGGCGAUGCGGCCGGUCGUGCUGGAGCUGGCCGCCGGCUGCGACGUGGCAGGCGCGGUGCNGCCUUCGCGCGGCGCCGCGGGGUGGGCGUGUCCGUGCUCUGCGGCCGCGGCGCGCUCGCCGCCGUCACGCUGCGUCUGUCGACCUCGCCCGAGACCUCGCGUGCGGUCCGGCUGGAGGGGCGGUUCGACGUGCUGUCGCUCUCAGGCACGGUGCUUCCUGCUGCCGUCGAGGGCGCGGGCACGCCUCCAGCACCGUUCUCGGUGUCGCUCGCGGGGGGCGACGGGCAGGUGGUCGGCGGCACGGUCGCCGGGGAGAUGACGGCCGCGGACGGAGGCGUCGUGCUGGUGGCCGCCACGUUCGUCAGCGCCGAGGUGCACCGGCUGCCCGAGGCGGAGGCCGAGGCAGUGGUCGAAGAAGCCGACGGCCGUCAGGAGCAGGAGAGGCGCCCGGCAACACCACCCCCGCCGCCUCCUCAGGCGCAGCAGAUGGUGGCGACGAGCGCCGCCGACCUGGGCCACAUCGCCGCCUACGGCGGUGUUCUUGGCUGGGCCCCCGGCGGCCAUCCGGGCCAGGUUGGGCACUACGCGCAGCAUGCCGAGCAGAUGAUGCUUUCGCCCUGGGCCCUGUUCCCGGACUCACGCGCCGCCCCGACCCAUCCUUCGAGUUCGAGCCAUCACCAUUACUUGUAGUACCAUUACCGUUCACCUUCGUUCUCCUCUUUACGUGGGGGGGGGGGGGGGGGGNNNNNNNNNNNNNNNNNNNNNNNNNNNNNNNNNNNNNNNNNNNNNNNNNNNNNNNNNNNNNNNNNNNNNNNNNNNNNNNNNNNNNNNNNNNNNNNNNNNNNNNNNNNNNNNNNNNNNNNNNNNNNNNNNNNNNNNNNNNNNNNNNNNNNNNNNNNNNNNNNNNNNNNNNNNNNNNNNNNNNNNNNNNNNNNNNNNNNNNNNNNNNNNNNNNNNNNNNNNNNNNNNNNNNNNNNNNNNNNNNNNNNNNNNNNNNNNNNNNNNNNNNNNNNNNNNNNNGGGGGGGGGGGGUACCGACGUAGUAGGUCGUUGUUGCCAACAUCUUUUUGGGAGCAGAUUGUUUGAACAAAAAUGCUACACUUACGGGCAAGAUACGGAUGAAACUUACGGAUUGCUGCCGCUUAGCCAAUCCCUCUGCCCCGCUGAUUUCAAGGGUGGGCCCUGGUGCCUCAAGUUUCCAGUAAAACAUGGACAGCUGAGUCCGUAAGUUACUUUCCGUAGCUUCCGUCCGUAAAUCUAGCACUUCUCUUGUUUGAAUUAGUGUACUCUACUACUCCGCAUCAUGCUGUGCGAGUUGUGUGAUCGAGUAUGUGCAAUGGUUUCUGGUGGUCAUGCAGAAAAAUGAGCAUGAGAAUGAACGAUGGAUGAUGGUUGAAUCCUCUGAUGAAUCAUUGUUGAGCUGAAUAUUGAGAUGGAACGCUUUGAUCACAAUGGUAGUAGUAGUACGUCCUCAAGCCACUGGAGUAUCCGUUGGUCAGUCACAUGUUGUGGGUGGAGCUGGCCGGCCGGCCUGACACGGCCUUGUGCACAAUGGACUCCUAGAUGCUAUGCCUGGGAAGGAGCUAGGCAUGCACGCAGUGGAGCACGAUGAUAAAGAGAAGAUACUGCUGCUGCUGCUGCUGCGUGUGUGUGCCUGCGCGCGGCCGCACGUAUUUUCCUCGGGAAGGCGCGACAUCGUGGGGUUUCCGAUGUAGUCCAUGCAUGCAGCUGCGACGCAUAAAUAAAAGCUGAAGCCGGUGCUCCUGCAGUGCUGUCCUGCUGCUACACUUUGAAUCGCAUUCUCGCUGCAAACAAUUAAUUUAACUCAAGGUGAAAUGAAACGAUUUUAACCUUCGUUGGGUUGGGAAAUCGUUGGUAAUAUAGAAAGUAAUGUCACAAGGUAGAACCAACGUCAAGAUGGCCGAGUUGGUCUAAGGCGCCAGUUUCAGGUACUGGUCCGAAAGGGCGUGGGUUCAAAUCCCACUCUUGACAAUUUCUUUUUUUCACCAUAUUUCGGAAUCCGCUAUAAUCAAAGAAUUUCAACUGUGGUUAUCAUAAUAUAGUGUGCACACGCUAUAUAAAAAGGGUGCCCGCUUCUCUUAGAUAGCUUUGCUGGGUCACGAGUUCGAGCUCUCCGCAACUCGUUGUGCAAAUCUCUCGGUGUCCGGGAAAGCAGUUUUCAGUUUUUAAAUAAAACGUCAAUAUUCUACAAUUUCUAUAUGGUAAAUGUUUUCAUCCGCCGCGCCGCGCACGGCAUUUUUUUAUCCGUUUUUUGCUGCAAUCACGUUUAUUUUUUGCUUCAAACAUUUGUCAUUUUAUUAUAUUUUGUUUAUUAAAAAGUUGCAUUCACGGUUGGUUGCAAAUCGAGUUCGUUGGAUUUUUGCUACAAUCGGACGUUUGACUAUUGCUACAACUCUGUUAUUUUUUGAUACAACCUGCAUCAUUUUUUGCUGCAACCAUUCACUAAAAAAAUUGCAUACACGUUCACGUAGAUAUUUGCUACAACCGGCGUUUGACUUUUGCUACCACGCAUCAUCAGCUUCGUUUUUUUGCUACGAUCACGUAGAUAUAUUUUUUGCUAUAAUUAUUUUUUUUGUUGCAACCAUUGACGAAAAUUGUUGCAUCGCGCCGAAAUUUGCUGCAUCGGAGAAAAAUGUUGCAUGGAUAGAUCUAACGGUACACCUUACAGAUCUGGCGGUCGCGCUCCCCCUCGUGCCGGCGCGCCGACGCGUAGUACUGCCCUUUCUAUAUUAUUUCUGGGUGUAACUUACUUAUCCAGUGCCAUUCCCUGUUUUUUUUUGUUUUUUCUUUUGCAGAAAAUCCAUAUCAAACAUUUUUGGAUGUAACUUACUUAUCGAGUGCCAUUUCCUAUUUUUGCGUUGUUUUCUUUUGCAGAAAAUCCAUAUCAAACAUUUUUGGGUGUAACUUACUUAUCGAGUGCCAUUUCCAGUUUUUGCAUGUUUUUUCUUUUGCAGAAAAUCCAUAUCAAACAAAGUUCAAAUACGGUAAAAAUUACAGAUCAAUUAUGGUUAUCGAUUUAGUUAUCGAUUGCCUAAGGACAAAUCUUUCUCUUGUGUUAUAAAAAGCUUGCUACUAAACAACCAACUAAAUUACUAUUUAUCUAAAACAACACCUAUCUUUUAUUUUCAUAUUCUUUAUUAUCUUCGAAAACUAUCCACUAAAUACUUUUAGUUUUCUUCUCGUAAAAUAGUUGUUGGGGAACGUCGCAAGGGAAACAAAAAAUUUCCUACGCGCACGAAGACCUAUCAUGGUGAUGUCCAUCUACGAGUGGGAUUUCAGAUCUACGUACCCUUGUAGAUCGCACAGCAGAAGCGUUAAUAAACGCGUUUGAUGUAGUGGAACGUUCUCACGUCCCUCGAUCCGCCCCGCGAACCGUCCCACGAACCGUCCCGAGAUCCGUCCCACGAUCCGCUCCGAUCUAGUGCCGAACGAACGGCACCUCCGCGUUCAGCACACGUACAACUCGACGAUGAUCUCGGCCUUCUUGAUCCAGCAAGAGAUACGGUGAGGUAGAUGAGUUCCCCGGCAGCGUGACGGUGCUCCGGAGGUUGGUGGUGAUCUAAUCUCAGCAGGGUUCCGCCCGAGCUCCGCAGAAACGCGAUCUAGAAGAAAAACCGUGGAGGUAUGUGGUCGGGCUGCCGUGUUAAAGUUGUCUCAAAUCAGCCCUAAAACCUCCGUAUAUAUAGGUGGGAGGGGAGGGGCCUUGCCUUGGGGCUCAAGGAGCCCCAAGGGGGUCGGCCGAAGGGGGGGAGGAGGAGUCCUCCUCCAAUCAUAGUCCAACUAGGAUUGCAAGGUGGAGUCCUUCCCUUCCUUCCCACUUCCCCUUUUUUUUCUCUUUGAUUUUCUUAUCUCCCUGCGCAGGGGCCUCUCUGGGAUUGCCCAACAUCCCACUAAGGGCUGGUGCNNNNNNNNNNNNNNNNNNNNNNNNNNNNNNNNNNNNNNNNNNNNNNNNNNNNNNNNNNNNNNNNNNNNNNNNNNNNNNNNNNNNNNNNNNNNNNNNNNNNNNNNNNNNNNNNNNNNNNNNNNNNNNNNNNNNNNNNNNNNNNNNNNNNNNNNNNNNNNNNNNNNNNNNNNNNNNNNNNNNNNNNNNNNNNNNNNNNNNNNNNNNNNNNNNNNNNNNNNNNNNNNNNNNNNNNNNNNNNNNNNNNNNNNNNNNNNNNNNNNNNNNNNNNNNNNNNNNNNNNNNNNNNNNNNNNNNNNNNNNNNNNNNNNNNNNNNNNNNNNNNNNNNNNNNNNNNNNNNNNNNNNNNNNNNNNNNNNNNNNNNNNNNNNNNNNNNNNNNNNNNNNNNNNNNNNNNNNNNNNNNNNNNNNNNNNNNNNNNNNNNNNNNNNNNNNNNNNNNNNNNNNNCCUUAAGUGUGCAGACCCCGCGGGUUCAAGAACUAUGUAGACAUGACCGGAGGGACUCCUCGGUCAAUAUUCAAUAGCGGACCUGUAUGCCCAUAUUGGAUCCUACAUAUUCUACGAAGAUCUUAUCGUCUGAACCUCAGUGCCAAGGAUUCAUAUAAUCACGUAUGUCAUUCCCUUUGUCCUUCGGUAUGUUACUUGCCCGAGAUUCGAUCGUCAGUAUCCGCAUACCUAUUUCAAUCUCGUUUACCGGCAAGUCUCUUUACUCGUUCCGUAAUACAAGAUCCCGUAACUUACACUAAGUCACAUUGCUUGCAAGGCUUGUGUGUGAUGUUGUAUUACCGAGUGGGCCCCGAGAUACCUCUCCAUCAUACGGAGUGACAAAUCCGAGUCUUGAUCCAUACUAAUUCAACGGACACCUUCGGAGAUACCUAUAGAGCAUCUUUAUAGCCACCCAGUUACGUUGUGACGUUUGAUACACACAAAGUAUUCCUCCGGUGUCAGUGAGUUAUAUGAUCUCAUGGUCAUAGGAAUAAAUACUUGACACACAGAAAACAGUAGCAACAAAAUGACACGAUCAACAUGCUACGUCUAUUAGUUUGGGUCUAGUCAGCGGGUCUGCCACAUUCAGAUCCGUGUGCACUUUGCAUAUAUUUACGUCCUCCCCUUCGACGUAGUCGCGGAUGAGGUUAAAGCGUCGUUUGAUGUGUCUGGUCUUCUUGUGAAACCGUGGUUCCUUUGCUAAGGCAAUGGCACCCGUGUUGUCACAGAACAAGGUUAUUGGAUUCAGUGCGCUUGGCACCACUCCAAGAUCCGUCCUGAACUGCUUCAUCCAGACAACCUCCUUAGCCGCCUCCGAGGCAGCCAUGUACUCCGCUUCACAUGUAGAAUCAGCUACGACGCUUUUCUUGGAACUGCACCAGCUUACCGCACCCCCAUUAAGAAUAAAUACGUAUCCGGUAUGUGACUUAGAGUCCUCCGGAUCUGUGUCGAAGCUUGCAUCGACGUAACCUUUUACGGCGAGCUCUUCGUCACCUCCAUACACGAGAAACAUCUCCUUAGUCCUUUUCAGGUACUUCAGGAUAUUCUUGACCGCCGUCCAGUGAUCCACUCCUGGAUUACUCUGGAACCUGCCUGCCAUACUUAUGGCCAGGCUAACGUCCGGUCUAGUGCACAUCAUAUGCUCUCUAUCUUUAUCAGUUGCUGGGCACUGAGUAUUACUCAAUCUCGUACCUUGUAAAACUAGCAAGAACCCCUUCUUGGACUGUUCCAUUUUGAACCUCUUCAAAACUUUAUCAAGGUAUGUACUUUGUGAAAGUCCUAUCAGGUGUUUCGAUCUAUCCCUAUAGAUCUUAAUGCCUAGAAUGUAAGCAGCUUCUCCUAGGUCCUUCAUAGAGAAACUUUUAUUCAAGUAAUCCUUUAUGCUCUCCAAAAACUCCACGUUGUUUCCAAUCAGCAAUAUGUCAUCCACAUAUAAUAUUAGAAACGCCGCAGAGCUCCCACUCACUUUCUUGUAAAUACAAGAUUCUCCAACCACUUGUAUAAACCCAAAUGCUUUGAUCACCUCAUCAAAGCGUUUAUUCCAACUCCGAGAUGCUUGCACCAGCCCAUAAAUGGAUCGCUGGAGCUUGCACACUUUGUUAGCAUUUUUAGGAUCGACAAAACCUUCGGGUUGCAUCAUAAACAACUCUUCCUUAAGGAAACCGUUAAGGAACGCCGUUUUGACAUCCAUCUGCCAGAUUUCAUAAUCGAAAAAUGCAACUAUUGCUAACAUGAUUCUGACGGACUUAAGCAUCGCUACGGGUGAGAAUGUAUCAUCGUAGUCAACUCCUUGAACUUGUGAAAAACCCAUUGCCACAAGUCGAGCUUUAUAAACGGUCACAUUACCGUCAGCGUCCGUCUUCUUCUUAAAGAUCCAUUUGUUCUGAAUAGCCUUGCGGCCCUCAGGUAGUACUUCCAAAGUCCACACUUUGUUUUCGUACAUGGAUCCUAUCUCGGACUUCAUGGCCUCCAGCCAUUUGUUGCAAUCCGGGCCCACCAUUGCUUCUUCAUAAUUCGCAGGCUCAUUGUUGUCUAACAACAUAAUUGAUAAGACGGGAUUACCCUACCACUCUGGAGUAGUACGCGGUCUUGUCGACCUGCGAGGUCCGAUAGGAACUUGAUCUGGAGUUUCAUGAUCAUCAUCAUUAACUUCCUCCUCAACCGACGUUGCAACGACAGGGGUUUCCCCUUGCCCUGCGCCACCAUCCAGAGGGAUGAGAGGUUCGACAACCUCAUCAAGUUCUAUCUUCCUCCCACUCAAUUCUCUCGAGAGAAACUCCUUCUCGAGAAAAGCUCCGUCCUUAGCAACAAACACUUUGCCCUCGGAUUUGAGAUAGAAGUUAUACCCAACUGUCUCUUUCGGGUAACCUAUGAAGAUGCACUUUUCCGCUUUCGGUUUCAUCUUUUCAGGCUAAAGCUUUUUGACAUAUGCAUCACAUCCCCAAACUUUAAGAAACGACAACUUUGAUCUUUUGCCAUACCACGUUUCAUAUGGUGUCAUCUCAACGGAUUUUGAUGGUGCCCUAUUUAAAGUGAAUGCAGCUGUUUCUAAUGCAUAACCCCAAAACCAUAACGGCAAAUCGGUAAGAGACAUCAUAGAUCGCACCAUCUCUAAUAAAGUACGAUUACGACGUUCGUACACACCAUUACGUUGUGGUGUUCCAGGCGGUGUCAACUGUGAAACAAUUCCACAUUGACUUAAGUGAGCACCAAACUCGAAACUCAGAUAUUCACCCACACGAUCAGACCGUAGGAAUUUGAUCUUCUUGUUACGAUGAUUUUCAACUUCACUCUGAAAUUGCUUGAACUUUUUUAAAUGUUUCAGACUUGUGCUUCAUCAAGUAGACAUAACCAUAUCUACUCAAAUCGUCAGUGAAGGUGAGAAAAUAACGAUAUCCGCCGCGUGCCUCCACGCUCAUCGGACCACACACAUCGGUAUGUAUGAUUUCCAACAAGUCACUUGCACGCUCCAUUGUUCCGGAGAACGGAGUUUUAGUCAUCUUGCCCAUGAGGCAUGGUUCGCACGUGUCAAGUGAAUCAAAGUCAAGUGACUCCAAAAGUCCAUCGGUAUGGAGCUUCUUCAUGCGCUUUACACCAAUAUGACCUGAGCGGCAGUGCCAUAAAAACAUGGCGCUACCAUUGUUAACUCUAACUCUUUUGGUCUCAAUGUUAUGUAUAUGUGUAUUAUCACUAUCAAGAUUCAAUAUGGACAAUCCUCUCACAUUGGGUGCAUGACCAUAAAAGAUAUUACUCAUAGAAAUAGAACAACCAUUAUUCUCUGACUUCAACGAGUAACCGUCUCGCAAUAAACAAGAUCCAGAUAUAAUGUUCAUGCUUAACGCACGCACUAAAUAACAAUUAUUUAAGUUCAUAACUAAUCCUGAUGGUAACUGAAGUGAAACUGUGCCGACGGCGAUUGCAUCAACCUUGGAACCAUUUCCCACGCGCAUCGUCACUUCAUCCUUGGCUAGCCUUCGCUUAUUCCGCAGUUCCUGUUUUGAGUUGCAAAUAUGAGCAACAGAACCGGUAUCGAAUACCCACGCACUACUACGAGAGUUGGUUAAGUACACAUCAAUAACAUGUAUAUCAAAUAUACCUGAUUUUUCUUUGGCCGCCUUCUUAUCAGCAAGAUACUUGGGGCAGUUGCGCAUCCAGUGACCCAUACCCUUGCAAUAAUAGCACUCCGUUUCAGGCUUAGGUCCAGCUUUGGGUUUCUUUGUCGAAUUGGCAACAGGCUUGUCGCUCUUCUUUGAAUUACCCUUCUUUCCUUUGCCAUUACUCUUGAAACUAGUGGUCUUAUUCACCAUCAACGCUUGGUGCUCUUUACGGAGUUCUGACUCUGUGACUUUCAGCAUCGCGAACAACUCGCUGGGUGACUUGUUCAUCCCUUGCAUGUUGUAGUUCAACACAAAGCCCUUAUAGCUUGGCGGCAGUGAUUGAAGAAUUCUGUCAGUGAUAGCUUCUUGCGGGAGUUCAAUCCCCAGUUCAGCUAGAUAGUUUGAGUACCCAGACAUUUUGAGCACAUGUUCACUGACAAACGAAUUCUCCUCCAUCUUGCAAGCAUAGAAUUUAUCGGAGGUCUCAUACCUCUCGAUCCGGGCGUUCUUCUGAAAGAUAAACUUCAACUCCUGGAACAUCUCAUAUGCUCCAUGACGCUCAAAGUGACGUUGAAGUCCCGGCUCUAAGCCAUACAAGACUGCACAUUGAACUACCGAGUAGUCCUCCUUCGUGUCAACCGAGCGUUCUUAACAUCUUGGUCAGCCGUAGCGGGUGGUCCAUCUCCUAGCGCAGUGAUACUGCAACAAAAGACAUACCAACGGCGCCAGAAAUAGGCACGUCGAUGGGAGAAUACUUGGCUUGAUCUUUCUGCUGCGGCUACGCCUUAAGGGACUUCCUAGGCAAGUAUGCAAAGGAUUUCCCCCGUGGCCUUGGAGCCUNAUCCCUUAUAGAUUGUUUUCCAAGUGAGAACUGAAAGCUACAAAGUAACAAAGCAAAGUAAAGGCGGAGAUGUAAACGAUGGAUGUGAAUAGACCCGGGGACCGUAGUGUUUACUAGUGGCUUCUCUCAUGAAAGCAAGUAGACGGUGGGUGAACAAAUUACUGUCGAGCAAUAGAUAGAACCGCGCAAAGUCGUGACGAUAUCUAUGCAACGAUUAUUUCUAUAUGCAUCACGUCCAAAACAAGUAGACCGAUAUUGUCUGCAUCUACUACUAUUACUCCACACGUCGACCGCUAUCCAGCAUGCAUCUAGUGUAUUAAGUCCAUAAGAUAAGAGUAACGCCUUAAGCAAGAUGACAUGAUGUAGAGGGAUAAUCUCAAACCAAUGAUAAAACCCCAUCUUUUUACCCUUGAUGGCAACUACUUGAUGUGUGCCUUGCUGCCCCUACUGUCACCGGGAAAGGUCACCAAAUGGCGGAACCCAAAACCAAGCACUUCUCCCAUUGCAAGAAUCGUAGAUCUAGUUGGCCAAANNNNNNNNNNNNNNNNNNNNNNNNNNNNNNNNNNNNNNNNNNNNNNNNNNNNNNNNNNNNNNNNNNNNNNNNNNNNNNNNNNNNNNNNNNNNNNNNNNNNNNNNNNNNNNNNNNNNNNNNNNNNNNNNNNNNNNNNNNNNNNNNNNNNNNNNNNNNNNNNNNNNNNNNNNNNNNNNNNNNNNNNNNNNNNNNNNNNNNNNNNNNNNNNNNNNNNNNNNNNNNNNNNNNNNNNNNNNNNNNNNNNNNNNNNNNNNNNNNNNNNNNNNNNNNNNNNNNNNNNNNNNNNNNNNNNNNNNNNNNNNNNNNNNNNNNNNNNNNNNNNNNNNNNNNNNNNNNNNNNNNNNNNNNNNNNNNNNNNNNNNNNNNNNNNNNNNNNNNNNNNNNNNNNNNNNNNNNNNNNNNNNNNNNNNNNNNNNNNNNNNNNNNNNNNNNNNNNNNNNNNNNNGAAGAGGCCCUCCAACUCGAAAGUCCCCUCCGGCAAGGCGCCGGGAAGGGUCUCCAGAUGAGAUCUCGCGGAAAGAAAAGUUUGCGGCGGCGGAAAAGUAUUUUCGAGGCUCCCCCAAUUUUUUGCGAAAUAUUUGGAAAUUUAUAGGCCAAAGAUCUAGGUCAGGGGGCAGCCAGGGAGGCCACAAGCCUGCCCACCGCCGCAUCCCCCCUGGUGGCAGAAUGGGGGCAUGUGGGCUCCCUGGAGCCCACCUGGCUUGGCCCAAAGGCCCCCUGAUCUUCUUCCGUUCGGGAAAAAAUCAUUUCGGGGUUUUCUUCCAUUUGGACUCCGUUCCAAAAUCAGAUUUGAAAAGAGUCAAAAACACGAAAAAAACAGGAACUCGCACUUGGCACUGAAUUAAUAAGUUAGUCCCAAAAAAGAUAUAAAAGGUACAUAAAACAACCAAAGAAGACAAGAUAACAGCGUGAAACCAUAAAAAAUUAUAGAUACAUUUGAGACGUAUCAAGCAUCCCCAAGCUUAACACCUGCUCGUCCUCGAGUAGGGAAGUGAUAAGAAUGAAUUUUUGAUGCUUUCAUGCUACCUAGCAUAGGUGUCCUUUGUAAUUCCUCUUAUGUGACGUGAAUGUUCAGAUCCAUUAGAUUCAAAAUAAUAGUUUGCUAUUGACGUGGAAACAGUAAUAAUUCAAGCAAACUUGCAAAGUAAUCAUGAACUUUCAAAAUAACAAGGCCAAAAGAAAGUUAUCCCUACAAAAGCAUAUAGUCUGGCUAUGCUCUAUCAUCAUUGCACAACGAAUUUAAAUCAUGCAUAACCCCGGUAUUGGCCAAGUAAUUGUUUCACACCUUUACUUUCUCAAACCUUUUCAACUCUCACGCAAUACAUGAGCGUGAGCCAUGGUUAUAGCACUAUAGAUGGUGUGGAGUGUGGUGGAGGUUGCAAGACAAAAAAGAGAAGAUAGUCACAUUAACUAGGCAUAUCAAUGAGCUAUGGAGAUGCUCAUCAAUAGAUAUCAAUGUGAAUGAGUAGGGAUUGCCAUACAAUUGAUGCACUAGAGCUACGAGUAUGUGAAAGCUCUUAAAGAAAACUAGUGGGUGUGCAUCCAACUUGCUUGCUUACGAAGACCUAAGGCAAUUUUGAGGAAGCCUAUCAUUGGAAUAUACAAGCCAAGUUAUAUAAUGAAAAUUUCCCACUAGCUAUUUGGUGGUGACAAAAUGAGAGACUCUCAAUCAUGAAGAUCAUGGUGCUUAAUAUGCACAAGUGUGGAAAAAGUGGUAGCAUUGUCCCUUCUCUCUUUUUCUCUCAUUUUUUUUAAUUUUGGUGGGCUCUUUGGCCUCCCCUUUUUUUUGGUGGGCUUCUUUGACCUCUUUUAUUUCCUCACAUGGGAUAACGCUCCAUUAAUGAUGAUCGUCAAACUUUCAACUCAAAACUUAGAGUAACGAUGACUCUAUAUGGAAUGCCUUCGGUAGUGUACCGUGGCAAUGAUCUAGCAUGGCAUAGACAUCAAUGGAAACAUCAUGCUAGCUAUCUUACGAUCAUGCAAUGGAAAUGUAGAUGUGGUGGCACAUCUCAUGGUGGUAGUUGCAUGGCAAUAUAUCUCGGAAUGACUUUGAAAAAGCCAUAGUAGGUAGGUAUGGUGGCUGUUUUGAGGGAGGCUAAUGGUGGGUUUUGUGCACCGGCGAAAGUUGCACGACACUAAGAAGAUAGUGAUGGUGGAAGGUGAAAGUGCAUCUAAACCAUGGACUCAACAUUAGUCAUGAAGAACUCAUAUACUUGUUGCAAAAGUUUUAUUAGUAAUCGAAACAAAGCAUUCAACGCAUACUCCUAGGGGAAGGGUUGGUAGGUAUAAACCAUCGCGCGAUCCCGACCGCCGCGCAAAGGAUGACAAUCAAUAGACUAAUCAUGCUCGGAUUUAAUCACAUAGCGGUUCACCAUACGUGCAUGCUACGGGGAUCACUAACUUCAGCACAAGUAUUUCUAGAUCCACAACACCUUACUAGCAUGACUUUAAUAUUACCAUAACCACAACUCAAAACUAAUUGAGAUGAAUCAAACUUCUCCAACUAUUCAAUGCACAUGAAGCUGGAAGUUUUCGUAUCCCUUUGGAUAACUACCCCUUUUGAGACUACUUUCAAAGCAUAGAUCAACUACAAAUCCACACACCGCUAUGCUCUAAAAGAUAUAAGUGAAGCACAUAGAGCAAAAGUAUCUAGCUCAAAAGAUAUAAGUGAAGCACAUGUGAGCUGAAUUGUCUAUCAAAAGAUAUAAGUGAAGCUCGACAAAAUCACGGUGUGUGCAUGUCUCUCUCUCUAGGUGUGCAGAAAGGAUGAUUGUGACAUAACAAAAAUAAAAGACUCCUACGAUACAAGACGAUCCAAGCAAAAACACAUAACAUGUGGUGAAUAAAAAUAUAGCCCCAAGUAACGUUACCAAUAGAUUGAAGACGAGAGAGGGGAUGCCUUCCCGGGGCAUCCCCAAGUUUAGGCUUUUACGACAUCCUUGAAUCUCUUGGGGUACCUUGGGCAUCCCCAAGCUUGAGCUCUUGCCACCCUUUAUCUCUUUGUCCAUAAGAACUUCACCCAGAACUUGAAAACUUCACAACACGAAACUUAAACAGAAACUCGUGAUAACAUUAGUACAAGAAAGCAAACCACCACUUCCUUAGGUACUAUAGUAAACUUAAAUUCUACUUGUGCUGAUGUUGGGUUACUGUACUUUCAAUCUUCCAUGGCUAAUACCUCCCUAUACUAUCCAUAGUUUCAUCAAAAUAAGCAACCAACACAACAAAAACAGAAUCUGUUAACAACAGACCAGUCUGUAGCAAUCUGUAUAUUUCGUAUACCUCUAGUACUUCCAAAAUUCUGAAAAAUUACGACAGUAUGAAGACUUUGCGUAGAAAUCAGCAGCAAAAAGAAUCAACUCAAAAGCUCUUAUAGAAUAAAAAAUGAAAAUUCUUUUCGUGAGCAGAAAGCUUCUGUCUUUUCCAGCAUGACCAAACGAUCAUCCCCAAGACUAAUCAUAACGGUUUUGCUUGGCACAAACGCAAAAAGAAACACAAAAAAUACAAUCACAACAGAAUUAUGAAAUUGUGUAAAACACAAAACAGAAAUAAAAAGGAUAGAUUCGUUGGGUUGCCUCCCAACAAGCGCUUUUGUUUAACCCCCUUAGCUAGGCAAAAGGUGAUGGAAUCACGUAUAGUCAUCUUUGGUGCUCAAACCAUAGGUAGCCCUUAUCAUAGAUUCAUAAGGCAAUCUUAUUUUCUUUCUAGGAAAGUGCUCCAUGCCCUUCUUUAAAGUAAAUUGAAAUCUAAUAUUCCCUUCCUUCAUAUCGAUGAUAGCACCAAUAGUCCUUAGGAAAGGUCUACCAAGAAUAAUGGGACAUGAAGGAUUCCAAUCUAUGUCAAGUACAAUGAAAUCCACGGGUACAUGGUUCUUAUUUGCAACAAUAAGAACAUCAUCGAUCCUCCCCAUGGGUUUCUUGACAGUAGAAUCCGCGAGAUGCAAAUUAAGAGAACACUCUUCAAUCUCAUGAAAACCAAGAAUAUCACAUAAAGACUUUGGAAUCGCGGAAACACUAGCACCCAAAUCACACAAAGCACUGCACUCAUAGUUUUUGAUCUUGAUUUUGAUAGUAGGUUCCCACUCAUCAUGAAGUUUCGUAGGUAUAGAGACUUCUAGUUCGAGCUUCUCUUCAAGAGAUUUCAUCAUAGCAUCUACGAUAUGCGCGGUAAAGACUUUGCUUUGGCUAUAAGCAUGUUGAGAGUUUGCAAUGGAUUGCAUCAAAUAAAUGCAUUCAAACAAGGAGCAAUUAUCAUAAUUGAAUUCCUUGAAAUCCAAAGUGGGAGUUUCAUUACUACCCAAAAUUUUGACUUCUUAUACUCCACUCUCCACACCUUUAUCAUCAAGAUAGGUGGACUCCGAAUCAUUGGGGCGUCUUUCAACCACAGUGGAUUCAUAUCCAGCCCCUCCAUAAGUAGGUUUGACACGCGAAAACAAAGAUUCAAGAGGAGACACACCAAGCACUUUAAGAUCUUCGUGAUUUGCAUCACUAGAAUGCACCCUUUUAAACCAUUCAUGUCUAGCGCGAAUUUGGACGGUUCUUUCUUUGCUCUCAUUCAUGGAGAUACGCAUAGCUUUCAAAGUUUCAUCCAAGUUGACCUUGGGAGGAGCGCAUCUAACUUUCAAAGCAUAAAUAUCACAAGACAUCCUAUCAACGCUCUUAGCCAAAUCGUCUAUUUUGAGUAGUUUUUCCACUAUGGACGCAUUAAAAAUCUUUUAAGAGUUGAUGAACUUGUUGAUAUUACUCUCUUAAUCAGAAGGUAAUUUGUUGUGAUUUACAUAAGUGUUGUCGUAGGAAUUGCCAUAUUUGUUAGAGGAGUUACUAGGAAAAGGCCUAGGAACAUAGUUUCCUCUAAAAGCAUUGUUGUUGCCAAAAUUGUUCCUACCAACAAAAUUCACGUCCAAACUAGCGUUGCUACUCUCAAUCAAAGAAGAUAGUGGCAUGUCAUUAGGAUCUACGGUAUCGUUUCUACUAGAAACCAAAUUCAUCAACUCGUCCAUCUUAGCACUAAGCGAGUUAACCUCUUCUAUAGCGUGCACCUUUUUGCUAGCAGGCGACCUUUCAGUGUGCCACUGAGAGUAGUUGGUCAUGAUAUUGUCUAGGAGUUUUGUAGCGUCUCCUAACGUGAUUUCCAUGAACGUUCCACCUGAGGCGGAGUCCAAGAUAUUGCGAGAAGCGAAAUUCAAGCCAGCGUAAAAGAUUUGUAUAAUCAUCCACAAACUCAAGCCAUGAGCGGGACAAUUUCUAAUCAUAAGCUUCAUCCUCUCCCAAGAUUGUGCAACGUGUUCAUGAUCAAGUUUCUUGAAAUUCAUGAUAUCGUCACGUAAGGAGAUGAUCUUAGCCGGCGGAAAAUACUUGGAUAUGUAAGCAUCUUUGCACUUAUCCCGAGAAUCGAUACUAUUUUUAGGGAAAGAAGAAAACCAAGUUUUUGCACGAUCUCUCAACGAGAAAGGAAAAAGUUUCAACUUAAUCACGUCAUUAUCCACAUCUCUUUUAUUUUGCAUAUCACAAAGCUCAAUGAAGGUAUUGAGAUGGGAUGCAGCAUCUUCACUAGGAAGGCCAGAGAAUUGCUCUUUCAUAACAAGAUUCAACAAAGCUGCAUUGAUUUUAUACGAUUCCGCACUAGUGGCGGGAGCAAUCGGAGUACUAAUAAAAUCAUUAUUAUGAGUGCUCGAGAAGUCGCAAAGUUUGGUGUUUUCAGCCAUGAUGACUUCAACAAACAAAGAAACAAGCACACAAGCAAGCAAGAAAACCGGCAAAGGCAAAAGAAAACGGCGAAGGCGAAAGGCGAAUGAAAACGACAAAUGUGAAGUGGGGGAGAGGAAAAAGAGAGGCAACUCGCAACAAAAGUAAAUGCAAGAGAAGAGUUUGUGAGACCUACUUGGAUAGAUCUUGAUUUCUCCUCCCCGGCAACGGCGCCAGAAAUACUUCUGAUACUGCAACAAAAGACCUUCCAACGGCGCCAGAAAUAGGCACGUCGACGGGAGAAUACUUGGCUUGAUCUUUCUGCUGCGGCUAUGCCUUAAGGGACUUCCUAGGCAAGUAUGCAAAGGAUUUCCCCCGUGGCCUUGGAGCCUAGCGUUGGUGUUCCCUCGAAGCGGAUAGGGUGAUGUAGCGUAGCGGUGGUAAGUAUUUCCCUCAGUUUGAGAACCAAGGUAUCAAUCCAGUGGAGGAGUAUCUCAAGAUCNNNNNNNNNNNNNNNNNNNNNNNNNNNNNNNNNNNNNNNNNNNNNNNNNNNNNNNNNNNNNNNNNNNNNNNNNNNNNNNNNNNNNNNNNNNNNNNNNNNNAAAUGAUGAUAGCAUGCCAAUUUUUAACAUUUUCAGAGUUCAUUUGUAGUGCUUUUUCAAUUUUAGGGGUCAACUAGCCCCAAAAAACAAAAGUAAAUGCACGAAAUAUACCAAAUUAAGUCAGAAAUUGUUGAAAAUUUGUGAUGUGCCCUUGAAUGGUGCAUUUUWAAACACACAAAAAGUAUGGAGUUCAAAUAAGUUCAAAAAUUAAAUCCCUUUGUAAUAGAUGAGUUCUCGUUCGAAACCCUCAUACUUCGAUAGAGAUUGUCUGUUUUGUACACGAAGUGCAUCCAGUUUUUGUCGUAACCCUCUCCACUUUUUAGCACAUGCUAUUUGGGUGAAAUGAUGAUACCAUGCCAACUUUCAACAUUUUCAGAGUUCAUUUGUAGUGCUUUUCAAUUUUAGGGUCAACUAGCUCAAAGAAAAAAUAAGUAAAUGCACGAAAAAUAUCAAAUGAAGUCAGAAAUUGUUGAAAUUUUGUGAUGUGCSUUUGAAUGGUGCAUUUUGAACACACAAAAAGUAUGGAGUUCAAAUAAGUUCAAAAAAAUGAAAUCCCUUUGUAACAGAUGAGUUCUUGUUCGAAACCAUGAUAAUUCGAGAGAUAUUGUCCGUUUUGUACACGAAAUGUAUCCAAUUUUUGCCGUAACCCUCUCAACCUUUUAGCACAUGCUAUGUGGGUGAAAUGAUGAUACCAUGCCAACUUUCAACAUUUUCAGAGUUCAUUUGUAGUGUUUUUCCAUUUCAGGGUCAACUAGCUCAAAAAAUAAGUAAAUGCACGAAAAAUAUCAAAUGAAGUCAGAAAUUUCAUAAAGUUUUUUGUUAAAAUAUUUAAUAGAAAACAAAAAAAGAGUCAACUAAAAAGAAUCAACUAAAACAUAAACUAAAAUGAAUGAAUUAAGAAUAAUUUACUAAAAUUUGCAAAGUGCUUAUUUGUUAGAAAGAAUCAAGUAAAACAUUAACUAAAAAGAAACAAAAAAAGAUCAACUCAAUAGAAAACUAAAAUAGAAGAGAAAAAAAUAUUGAAUAGCAAAGAAUUAAUAUAUAAACUAGGACUAAAAAUUAUGAAGUAAAAAAACAAAUGCCGCCUAUUGGGCCAUCACGACCAGCAUACGACUAGAAACCCUACCCGACAGGUGGGCCAGGAUGAAGGCCCGCGGGCCCAACAGGCAGCGAGAUGAGAGUUAGGCCCAUAAGCCUUCAAUAGAGAGAAGCUCAAUUGAGCAAGGCGUGACAUUGCUUAUAAAGCACUGCCAGCGCCCCUUGCUAGGCGAGGUGGGACUAAAGGUUGUCCUGCGUCACCCCGGAGCCAGCCCAGGUCUUUAGUCCCGGUUCGGGGCUCGAACCAGGACUAAAGACCACCUUUAGUCCCGGGUGGAGCCACGACCCGGGACUAAAGCCCCUCGUUUCCCGCCUACUCGCCUGCCGAAAAAGGGGUCUUUAGUCCCGGUUCAGGGCUCGAAUCGGGACUAAAGACCACCUUUAGUCCCGGGUGGAGCCACGACCUGGGACUAAAGCCCCUCGUUUCCCGCCUCCUCGCCUGCUGAAAAGGGGUCUUUAGCCCCGGGUCGUGGCUAGACCCGGGACUAAAGGGUGUCUUUAGUCCCGAUUCUAGCCAAGACCCGGGACUAAAGGUCCUCCUAUAUAAAACGACACUUUGAAGUUUCCAACCCCUCUCCUCUCGCUCUCGCCUACGCACCGGACGACGACGCGAUCGACGCCACCAGGCUGCCGAACCUCCGCCUCGCUCUCGCCGUCGCCGACACCUGCCUUCCUCCUUGCCGACAUCGGAUCUACGCGCGGGCCCCUCUUCUCCCCCGAGGUGAGCCACUCUCUCCUCUCCCUCUCCUCCUCAAGCCCGGCCCCCGACCGCCGCCUUCGGCACGGCCAUCCGGCAUUCAGUUGCUGUUCUGGUUGACAAGCACGUGCACGGUGGCGGACACGUCCUUGUCGGUGGCGACGACGACCUGGUUGCCGGAGAUAUUCCUGAGCGUGUGCCCGGGGAACGCGUCGCCGGCGACGAGCGAGUACUGCACGUGCCCGAUGCGGUCCGGGAACAGCAGCACCGGCGCGAAGUCCACCGUCCAUGAGUUGCCGUUGCCGUCGGCGGAGCCGCGCGCCGUGGUGGCCUUGAGGUUCAUCCCCAAGGCGGAGUUUGCUGCACGUAGACCUGCUCCACCGUCCCGAAGGCGCCGUCCAGCUGCACGGUGUCCACGCCCUUGCCGCGCCCGUUGAACAGGUUGCCGGUGAUGUGCACGCCACGCGCCACGCCGCGCACCGCCUUGAGCACCACGUUGGCGUCGCCGAGGAAGAAGGAGCCCGACACGUGCCAGCAGCACGGGGUCCUCAGCCACGAUGCUCGUGUAGUCCAUGUAGCAGUUGGUGACCCACAUACUGUUUCCAUACAACUUCAAGUGAGGGUAUUUACUCUGUUGUGUCCAUUCACUUAUAAGUGUAACUGAUAAGUUACUGACACACACACACAUAUAUAUAUAUAUAUAUAUAUAUAUAUAUAUAUAUAUAUACAUGUGCAGCUACAAUUGGAUUCUGUUGGACAUUCAAAUUGAUAAGGGAAGAGUUCAUGCCUUCGACCCAUUAUCGAGACCCUUGGAACAGUUCCAAAGCCUGCGGGACAUGCUCCAAGGGUAAUUUCAAUCAUUCUUGCGCUCUAUCGGUCUCUUUCGAUGAUUUUUUGAUAUAUCAAUUAAUGAAAAACUUAGCAAAUCAUUUUCCUUGUCGGGCAGGGUUUGGAAGCGGUUCAAGUGCGUGACUCCCGGUAUCGAGCAUGAGAAGCUGGCCUUUAGAUCGGCUCAGGUAAGUAGUAGUAUGAUAUACUUCUAUUUUCAAUAUAUUUAUGAUGCUAGAUUAUUAUUUUGAUUAUAUAUAUUCUAUUCUCGUAAAGUGCGACCAGCAGCCACGGGGGACGCAUCUAUGCGGAUACUAUGUUUGCGAGACCAUUCACACGUUUACCUCUGAUCACAAGGAUUACAGAUACGACGUAAGCAAUGAACAUUCACACCUCUAUUUUUACCCGUCAUUCUUUGUUAUCAUGAUUGAUAUUCAUAUUCAUCUCCUCUUCUUAUAUAGUACACGGCCAUGAGGAAGAAGUACCUACCAGAGCAACGCGCGAUUGCUGUUGCAGAGGAGCUUGCGACCUUUCUGAGGACGGAAGCUAUAGAUGACAAAGGACGAUUUAGUGUAGCUAGGGGCCAUUACUGAUGUUGGUCCAUGUAAUCAAAUAGACGGGCUCUAGUCCCGAUAAUUCAGAUCUCCAUAUAAUUGUAUAUAUAUGCUCGCUUGUAAGAUAAGUUAAUCUUAUAUAUAUAUGCAUAAACAUGNNNNNNNNNNNNNNNNNNNNNNNNNNNNNNNNNNNNNNNNNNNNNNNNNNNNNNNNNNNNNNNNNNNNNNNNNNNNNNNNNNNNNNNNNNNNNNNNNNNNUCAAUUUCAAACACUUUUCAUUUUCAUAGUUUUGUCAAAUUCUCAAAUAUGCAAUUUUUUUAAUAAACCUUUGUAAGAGAUGAGUUCUCGUUCGAAACCCUGAUACUUCGAGAGAGAUUGUCCGUUUUGUACACGAAGUGCAUCCAGUUUUUGUCGUAGCCCUCUCAACUUUUUAACACAUACUAUGUGGGUGACAUGAUGAUAGCAUGCCAACUUUCAACAUUUUCAGAGUUCAUUUGUAGUGCUUUUCAAUUUAAGAGUCAACUAGCCAAAAAAACAAAAGUAAAUGCACGAAAAAUACCAAAUUUAGCCUGAAAUUGUUGAAAAUUUGUGAUGUGCCUUUGAAUGGUGUAUUUUAAACACACAAAAAGUAUGGAGUUCAAAUAAGUUCAAAAAAUGAAAUCCCUUUGUAAUAGAUGAGUUCUCGUUCGAAACCCUCAUACUUCGAGAAAGAUUGUCUGUUUUGUACACGAAGUGCAUUCAGUUUUUGUCGUAACCCUCUUCACUUUUUAGCACAUGCUAUGUGGGUGAAAUGAUGAUACCAUGCCAACUUUCAACAUUUUCAGAGUUCAUUUGUAGUGCUUUUCAAUUUUAUGGUCAACUCGCCAAAAAAAACAAAAGUAAAUACACGAAAAAUACCAAAUUAAGUGAGAAAUUGUUGAAAAAUUUGUGAUGUGCUUUUGAAUGGUGCAUUUUUAAACACACAAAAAGUAUGGAGUUCAAAUAAGUUCAAAAAAUAAAAUCCCUUUGUAACAGAUGAGUUCUUGUUCGAAACCCUCAUACUUCGAAAGAGAUUGUGUGUUUUGUAUACGAAGUGCAUCCAGUUUUUGUCGUAACCCUCUCCACAUUUUAGCACAUGCUAUGUGGGUGAAAUGAUGAUACCAUGCCAACUUUCAAUAUUUUCAGAGUUCAUUUGUAGUGCUUUUCAAUUUUAGGGUCAACUAGCUCUAAUUUUUUAAGUAAAUGCACGAAAAAUACCAAAUGAAGUCAGAAAUUGUUGAAAUUUUGUGAUGUGCCUUUGAAUGGAUCAUUUUGAACACACAAAAAGUAUGGAGUUCAAAUAAGUUCAAAAAAUGAAAUUCCUUUGUAAGAGACGAGGUCUCGUUCGAAACCCUGAUACUUCGAGAGGGAUUGUCCGUUUUGUACACGAAGUGCAUCCAGUUUUUGUCGUAGCCCUCUCAACUUUUUAACACCUGCUAAGUGGGUAAAAUGAUGAUAGCAUGUUAACUUUCAACAUUUUCAGAGUUCAUUUGUAGUGCUUUUCAAUUUUAGGGUCAACUAGCCCAAAAAAAAACAAAAGUAAACGCACGAAAAAUGCCCGUAAGCCUGCUUUAGAGAGGAGCUCGACACGGUUGGGAUAACGGGGAUUAUAAACCAGUGGCGGCUCCUCUCGACAAGCGAGGUGGGACUAAACUUUGGAAUGCCGCCAGCCCAAGCCUUUAGUCCCGGUUCGUGGUACGAACCGUGACUAAAUACACCCUUUAGUCCCGGGUGGAGCCACGAACCGGGACUAAAGACCCUAAUUUUGAAAAAUAGAAAAUAGUUUUGAAUUAUUUAUUCAAUUUCAANNNNNNNNNNNNNNNNNNNNNNNNNNNNNNNNNNNNNNNNNNNNNNNNNNNNNNNNNNNNNNNNNNNNNNNNNNNNNNNNNNNNNNNNNNNNNNNNNNNNUUUGGCAUUUUGUUGUGUUAGUUUUUGACAACGCCAAGGUGCAAGUCGGUAGGAAAUAUGUCGAACUACGCGUCAGAAAAGAUUUUUUAGGUUAGUGUAAUUUAUUCUGUGACGAGCUAUAUAAAUAGUAGCCCCCAAGACUUGGGUUGGGUGACAUGGCCAACCCUAGGAUCGUAUCUUCUCGGAGACUAUUUCAUCCAUUAAGUGUGUUUUGACAACAACGAGGUGGAGCUCGGCGGGGGAGAUGCUGAACUGUAGGUUGGAAAAAAUCUUGGAGAAGAAUCGCAAUGCAGAACAUCUCGAACAUAAGGAUGUCCCGCCACCUGAAAGAAAGAACAUGUAAAUAGGUUAAAGGUGCCAUAAGCUCGGCAAUACCAAAAAACUUUAGCAAAAACAUUACCUUCCGAACUAAAUCAAGUUUCUUUUCACGUGUGUCGUUGGCUUCGAGACUCGCGUUGGGUGCGGCAGACCGACAUGAGGAUUGAAUCUCCUUGGAAACCGUAUUUCACUUUGAAUUUGUUGCAUUGAAUAAGCAAUGAAGUAGCCCCCAGCCUUAAUUGGGCAUGGNNNNNNNNNNNNNNNNNNNNNNNNNNNNNNNNNNNNNNNNNNNNNNNNNNNNNNNNNNNNNNNNNNNNNNNNNNNNNNNNNNNNNNNNNNNNNNNNNNNNGGUUGUUUAGUAGCAAGCUUUUUAUAACACAAGAGAAAGAUUUGUCCUUAGGCAAUCGAUACUAAAUCGAUAACCAUAAUUGAUCUGUAAUUUUUACCGUAUUUGAACUUGUUUGAUAUGGAUUUUCUGCAAAGAAAAACAUGCAAAAACUGGAAAUGGCACUCGAUAAGUAAGUUACACCCAAAAAUGUUUGAUAUGGAUUUUCUGCAAAAGAAACAACGCAAAAUAGGAAAUGGCACUCGAUAAGUAAGUUACAUCCAAAAUGUUUGAUAUGGAUUUUCUGCAAAGAAACAAAAACAGGGAAUGGCACUGGAUAAGUAAGUUACACCCAGAAAUAAUAUAGAAAGGGCAGUACUACGCGUCGGCGCGCCGGCACGAGGGGAGCGCGACCGCCAGAUCUGUAAGGUGUACCGUUAGAUCUAUCCAUGCAACAUUUUUCUCCGAUGCAGCAAAUUUCGGCGCGAUGCAACAAUUUUCGUCAAUGGUUGCAACAAAAAAUAAUUAUAGNNNNNNNNNNNNNNNNNNNNNNNNNNNNNNNNNNNNNNNNNNNNNNNNNNNNNNNNNNNNNNNNNNNNNNNNNNNNNNNNNNNNNNNNNNNNNNNNNNNNUUUCAAUUUCAGGGUCAAUUAUCUCAAAAAAGUAAAUGCACGAAAAAUACCAAAUGAAGUCAGAAAUUGUUGAAAUUUUUGUGAUGUGCSUUUGAAUGGUGCAUUUUGAACACACAAAAAGUAUGGAGUUCAAAUAAGUUCAAAAAAAUGAAAUCCCUUUGUAACAGAUGAGUUCUCGUUCGAAACGCUCAUACAUCAAGAGAGAUUGUCCGUUUUGUACACGAAGUGUAUCCAGUUUUUGCCGUAACCCUCUCAACUUCUUAGCACAUGCUAUGUGCGUGAAAUGAUGAUAUCAUGCCAACUUUCAACACAGAGUUCAUUUGUAGUGCUUUUCAAUUUCAGGGUCAAUUAUCUCAAAAAAAGUAAAUGCACGAAAAAUACCAAAUGAAGUCAGAAAUUGUUGAAAUUUUGUGAUGUGCGUUUGAAUGGUGCAUUUUGAACACACAAAAAGUAUGGAGUUCAAAUAAGUUCAAAAAAUGAAAUCCCUUUGUAACAGAUGAGUUCUUGUUCGAAACCAUGAUAAUUCGAGAGAUAUUGUCCGUUUUGUACACGAAAUGUAUCCAAUUUUUGCCGUAACCCUCUCAACCUUUUAGCACAUGCUAUGUGGGUGAAAUGAUGAUACCAUGCCAACUUUCAACAUUUUCAGAGUUCAUUUGUAGUGUUUUUCCAUUUCAGGGUCAACUAGCUCAAAAAAUAAGUAAAUGCACGAAAAAUAUCAAAAUGAAGUCAGAAAUUUCAUAAAGUUUUUGUUAAAAUAUUUAAUAGAAAACAAAAAAAGAGUCAACUAAAAAGAAUCAACUAAAACAUAAACUAAAAUGAAUGAAUUAAGAAUAAUUUACUAAAAUUUGCAAAGUGCUUAUUUGUUAGAAAGAAUCAAGUAAAACAUUAACUAAAAGAAACAAAAAGAUCAACUCAAUAGAAAACUAAAAUAGAAGAGAAAAAUAUUGAAUAGCAAAGAAUUAAUAUAUAAACUAGGACUAAAAAUUAUGAAGUAAAAACAAAUGCCGCCUAUUGGGCCAUCACGACCAGCAUACGACUAGAAACCCUACCCGACAGGUGGGCCAGGAUGAAGGCCCGCGGGCCCAACAGGCAGCGAGAUGAGAGUUAGGCCCAUAAGCCUUCAAUAGAGAGAAGCUCAAUUGAGCAAGGCGUGACAUUGCUUAUAAAGCACUGCCAGCGCCCCCUUGCUAGGCGAGGUGGGACUAAAGGUUGUCCUGCGUCACCCCGGAGCCAGCCNNNNNNNNNNNNNNNNNNNNNNNNNNNNNNNNNNNNNNNNNNNNNNNNNNNNNNNNNNNNNNNNNNNNNNNNNNNNNNNNNNNNNNNNNNNNNNNNNNNNACUUAUUUUCGUUCUAUGAACUUUAUGGUGUAUGAAUUCUCAUAUCUGUAUAAAAUUCUUGAAAAAUAGCCUUUUAUGGUUAUAUUGGUAAUAAUCCAGCAAAAUAAGGAUUACUCAUAGUGGGCUCAAUUGACAAUGGGGAUGGAAUAGAUAUUGGAUGGUUAGGACAUCAUGAUGUCUUUAAAGAUAAAGAAGGACGUGAGUUUUUUGUACAUCGUAUGUCUACUGUUUUUUUUUGAAACAUUUCUGGUUGUUCAAGAAACACUCUAUUUUAUAAGGGGUUUCCUGAUCGGAGAUCCACGGAUCACAGAAAAAAUCUCUCCCCCAUGGCCUUUCACCUUUGAAAGUGUCCAUCUUUCUCAAUGCCCAGGCAUCCAUCGAAUGCAUGAUUUUUGAUAGCGUCAAACAUGAGCGGACACCAAUAAUAUCUCGGUUUUACACAGUUCGAAUCCAUUGCUUCAAAGAAGAAGGGAUCAAAAAAUUUAUCACGGGCAUUUCACCAAACAAUUGUCGGGCAUGGUGAAUAUCGUAGGAGCGGAUAGUAUAUGUGCGGCGAUCGGAGGAGAGGUGUGAAACGGCGGCGGGGGCAAAAGUGAUGCGGAGCCUGGUUGUACCCUUGAAGGUGAGAGACUCGUCGAGUUCUGACAAUAGUGUUGCGGGGGCAUCAUUAUCUAUGGCAUCAUUUUUUGGAGGGUCAUUCGUGGCGUCUAUUUCCUUGCCGUCGCCGAAAAUAAGUCGCAUGCUUCAUAAUGACGUGUGCAAAUCUCGGCCUAUAGAAUGANNNNNNNNNNNNNNNNNNNNNNNNNNNNNNNNNNNNNNNNNNNNNNNNNNNNNNNNNNNNNNNNNNNNNNNNNNNNNNNNNNNNNNNNNNNNNNNNNNNNUUAUGUAAUGAUAAUCGGUCCAGUACUUCGUGUUACAUGUAUAUAUGUACUUUUAUUUGGUGCAUCAACAUUUAACCGCAAACACGGAAUCGGAAAACACUUAACCGCAAACACGGAAUCGGUGUUUCCGGAUACGUGUUUCCGAUUACGUGUUUCCGAUUCCGUGUUCGUAAAAAACGAAACACGGACACACGGAAUCGGAAACACGGAAUCGGAAAGACGUAAACAGAAAUACGGAACCGGAAACACGUAAACGAAAACCCUGAAAAUACGGAACACGGAAACAUCGAAAUACGGAAUAGGAAACCCUGAAAAGAAAGAAAAAAGAAGGAAAAAAAGCAUUAGGACCGGUUGGUGUUACCAACCGGUUCUAAAGGUCCUCCGCCUACGCGCACUCUUCGGCGCCCACGUGGAGGCCUUUAGCACCGGUUUGUAAGAGACCGGUGCUAAAGGGGGGGGCUUUAGUCCCGGAUACGUAGCACCGGAUGUGUAUCCGGGUCCAAAGGCCCUUACCAACCGGUUCUAAUACCCCUUUCUCCACUAGUGAGUGGAGUCGCUGGAGGAGAGAAAAAGUAUGUGGCUGGCGAGGGGGGUGGUUGUCCGCGCUUCCAAAAUGAGGUGGUCGACGAGCUGGUCUCCUGGUCAUGGCGGCCCCUUNUGGCGAGGAUGCCACUUCCAAACCCCAUGGUGAUGGGCUAGCGGGAGCGAGGUAGGGCGUGGCGCUAGGUUUGGUAUCAAGCACGGAGGAGUACUCGAGUGGNNNNNNNNNNNNNNNNNNNNNNNNNNNNNNNNNNNNNNNNNNNNNNNNNNNNNNNNNNNNNNNNNNNNNNNNNNNNNNNNNNNNNNNNNNNNNNNNNNNNAAAAUGUUGUAGCCAAAAAUAUCUACGUGAUUGUAGAAAACCGAAGCUGAUGAUGCGUAGUAGCAAAGAAAGGGUUGUAGCAAACAAUCCGGUGAACUCGGGUUGCAAACUCUGACGAACGUGUAUGCAACUUUUUAGUGAACGGUUGCAGCAAAAAGUGAAGCCGGUUGUAACAAAAUUAACACGGUUGUAGCAAAAAUCAAACACGAGUUGUAGCAAAAAAGCAACGAACUCGAAUUGCAACCAAACAUGGAUGCAACUUUUUAAUGAACAAGUUGUAAUAAAAUAAAAUAAAGGCUUGUAGCAAAUUUAACCGCGUUUGUAGUAAAUCUAUGCUAAAAAAUAUUGCAUGUGUGAACCAAUGUACUAAAUUUAUACAUAAUUACAAUAAAUCUGUACUAAAACAAUGUUGUAUAGCUGCUGCAGGGGGGCGCAAGCCGCGAGCGACCGGCUGAACGAACCUAACGCUCCGGCUGUAAGCAUUUCCCUUGCCAAACAGAUACCACAUGAACGCGGGGUGCCAGGAAAAUCGAUGCGAAUCUCAUGGCCCGGUGAAUGGAGCAGACUCGCGAUUUCUCGGGAAGCAGGCAGGCGGCGAUGCCAGGUACUGUUCCCUACGCGCGGCCAUGGGGGCCGCCUCCUGUUCCCUGCCUGCCGUGCCGCAGUCCACUUCGCACCCAGCANNNNNNNNNNNNNNNNNNNNNNNNNNNNNNNNNNNNNNNNNNNNNNNNNNNNNNNNNNNNNNNNNNNNNNNNNNNNNNNNNNNNNNNNNNNNNNNNNNNNCUGAUACUACUAGAGAACAGAGAUAGCAUCAUGAAUAGUCUGAAGGAGGCAAAAUCCAAGUUCAUACUCAAGUAGUAACGGCCUCGCACGAAUUGCCGCCUGAAAGAAAGACAUGCCAUGCCAGAAUCUGGUGUGUCUAAUCCACAUAAGCCAGCCCAGUGGAUAGUAGCAUUCUUAGGACGAAUAAGUAUGGCCCAUAAAUGGAUAGGACAGACUGGGCCGUGGCCCAUCAACAUGAGAUGUUUAUAUCUUUUGAAACUUAAGAUGUUUAUAUUGGCAAAACUAAAAUUCUGUGUAAAAAUUAAAUUUCUGCAUUUGACUUAUAUACGUUAGGUAGUGUAGUGUCUUUCUUUCUAGUAUUACCAAUUAAAAACUGAGAUAAUACUCUGUGUGUUGCUUUGCGAAUUUAAUAACUGUAAUUUGAGUAACAUUUGGUUGUCGAAAUAAUUUCUGGAUUGAUAAUAUGAGAACUGGAAGUAAAUAUGCAUAAAAAAUAGAUAUAAAAUAUAUACCGAAUACAAAUAGGAUAAUAAUAUGAUCAUUUCUCAUGAAUGGUUGCAUCUUGAGGUUGGAUAUUUGCCUAUGCAUGGUUACAUGUUGUGGUGGAACCUUCUUGAGGUGGGAUAUUUGCCUAUGUAUCAAUGCAUGGUUACAUGUUGUGGCGGAACCUUGUGUAUCAAUGCAUGGUUACAUGUUGUGGCGGAACCUUGNNNNNNNNNNNNNNNNNNNNNNNNNNNNNNNNNNNNNNNNNNNNNNNNNNNNNNNNNNNNNNNNNNNNNNNNNNNNNNNNNNNNNNNNNNNNNNNNNNNNAUAAUUUUAUCUUGCUUACCUGAUGUGUUGAUUACCAACACAACAUAUAAUUUUUUAAGGGAAUCGCAACGUAUAACUUGGUUCCUUCGGGGGAUGAGGUGAGAGCACAUCCAUUAGAAUAAGACAACCAAACAGAUUGAUUAAGGAGUUGGGGUGGUCAUGCUCUUGUUGUUAUCACUGGAACCCAGCCAAAUGUCGCAGGGAGAUGCUCGCUCACACUAUUCUCUUGUUCCACUAUACAUUAACAAUCUUUGAAAAAGAAAGUCCACCUCUUCCGGAGAAUGGCAGCUCUCUAGAAACCAAUACAAAAGGUUAAACCCAAUAGUUCAGUGGUUACAGUUGCAGACAUACCAAGUGGGAGUCAAAAUCUACCAGUAUUUUCAAUUCAAUCAAGUUCGUGCUGGAAUCAUAACAAAACCGCUUUGCUGACCAGAUAUGUACACGCAAAGUUAUUUGUUGCAAAAUAACAUAUAUGGUGAUUACUAAUUCAGCUCAACAGAAUUUGCCUAGAUGCUUAUACCAAAAUAAAUGCAAACACUGAACCAUGAAUACGAACAUUCAUCAGUGCAACGCNNNNNNNNNNNNNNNNNNNNNNNNNNNNNNNNNNNNNNNNNNNNNNNNNNNNNNNNNNNNNNNNNNNNNNNNNNNNNNNNNNNNNNNNNNNNNNNNNNNNGUGAAAACUGAUAUGGAAACAAAGAAAAAAAUAAAACCUAAUAAAUAAGUGAAUAAAACAAGAACAAAGAAGGAAAAGUGAGAAAAGAAAGAAAAACAAGAAAAUCCAUUGAAAGGAACAAAGAGAAAUCAAAAGAAAAAGAAGAGAAAAAACCCAAAGUAUAACGACAAAAAUAAAUAAAUUCAAAUAAAACUGGAGAAGAAAUAAGAAGACCAAACAAAGUAGAAAAUAAACGAAAAAAUUAAAAUAGAAGAAGAAACAAAAACAAAAACUACGGGUCUUUAACCUCAACUAGAUGGCGCCUCCCAUCUAACAACAAUCUCAGUCGUGGCGCAGUGGCUAGUUGCUUCGUUUAAUGCGAGACAUAGCUCUAGCGCUAUUUGCUGACUUGUCUCGUCCAAAGAAGAAUAUAUGGGCCUAUCUCACACACAAAAUGCACAAGGCCGGCCUUAUGAGACCCGCGACAUAUUUUCCAGAAACGUCUAGGCGAGUGACGCCAUCUACGAGGUCUGGUGCUGGCUGCUGUUUGUCUCGAUCNNNNNNNNNNNNNNNNNNNNNNNNNNNNNNNNNNNNNNNNNNNNNNNNNNNNNNNNNNNNNNNNNNNNNNNNNNNNNNNNNNNNNNNNNNNNNNNNNNNNUGCAACAAUUUUCGUCAAUGGUUGCAACAAAAAUAAUUAUAGCAAAAAUAUAUCUACGUGAUCGUAGCAAAAAACGAAGCUGAUGAUGCGUGGUAGCAAAAGUCAAACGCCGGUUGUAGCAAAUAUCUACGUGAACGUGUAUGCAAUUUUUUAGUGAAUGGUUGCAGCAAAAAAUGAUGCAGGUUGUAUCAAAAAAUAACAGAGUUGUAGCAAUAGUCAAACGUCCGAUUGUAGCAAAAAUCCAACGAACUCGAUUUGCAACCAACCGUGAAUGCAACUUUUUAAUAAACAAAAUAUAAUAAAAUGACAAAUGUUUGAAGCAAAAAUAAACGUGAUUGCAGCAAAAAAACGGAUAAAAAAAUAGACCGUAGACGACGGACGCGGCGGAUGAAAACAUUUACCAUAUAGAAAUUGUAGAAUAUUGACGUUUUAUUAAAAACUGAAAACUGCUUUCCCGGACACCGAGAGAUUUGCACAACGAGUUGCGGAGAGCUCGAACUCGUGACCCAGCAAAGCUAUCUAAGAGAAGCGGGCACCCUUUUUUANAUAGCGUGUGCACACUAUAUUAUGAUAACCACAGUUGAAAUUCNNNNNNNNNNNNNNNNNNNNNNNNNNNNNNNNNNNNNNNNNNNNNNNNNNNNNNNNNNNNNNNNNNNNNNNNNNNNNNNNNNNNNNNNNNNNNNNNNNNNAGUACUACUCAAUAAUACUGUUACUAACUAUAUUAGGCAAUUAAAUAACGAACUUCGGAAACGUGAUGCCAUCGAUGACGAUCUCAUUCCUUUCCACUACCCGAUUCAGGUCAAUGGACUCUCUGACCGUCAGCGUCUGAGAUCGAUUUCUGGUUAUUUAUUUUAAGAUGUCUCCUCCGCCCUAUGGACCGCAUCACCUGAUCGAUCGAGCUCCACACAAGUUAACCCAUAGCCACUCACUCUCACAUUAUCACAGCAACCAAGCUCGAAACAAGAGAAAAAAAWUGGACGCCAUGGCGGUCUCGGCGAAGCCCACCCUCCGCGUGGCCGCUCUCAGCGGCUCCCUCCGCAACAACUCGUGGCACCACGGCCUCAUC
rnacentral:lncRNA from 1 species